rnacentral:lncRNA from 1 species
CUAAAGCUCUCUGGUAGUAAGGAAAUCAAACUAACAAGCUAAUACCCUUACUGCAAAUAGGUUUAGCUCAAAUAUUGAGCCUACACAAAAUAACGCUCGUCUCAGUACCUAACUCUUUUUGAAUUGAUGUACAAUUAGAAAUACUGAGAAUUAAAUAGAUGAAAUCAUAAUCUCAAUGCUAGACUGGUAUCUUAUGAGUAAGCCUAAGUCAGCCUUACUCUUGAGCAAGCCAAUCCAAAGUACUAAAUAAUAAAUGAGGGUGGCAAAACACCCUUUUUCUCAGCCCAUACCUUGAGCCCGUAACACAACCCAAUUUGAGCCCAAUUACCUUUAACCCAUACAACCUAAACCCUACACAGGUCUCUCGUCAACAUGACCACAACCGACACCGCAGCCACCACCGCCCUCCGGCCAACCCAACAAUCCCUUGAUUUGGUUUUGCAAAUGGAUAGGCUAUAUGCAGUUUUCUUUUAGCUUGACAUUCUUGAAUCUUAAUGGUAAGGCAUUUUAGCCGAUUUGCUAACCUAGCUUUCACUACAGUGUCAAUUUGCUACCCUAGCUUUUAUUUCUGUCAUUUUGCUACUUAGGAUUUCAAAAUUUGCUGAAUUGCUACCCAUAGCCAAUUUCAGUUAACUUUUCCAUUUAGAGACCAACAUGAGGGUAUUUUCAUACCCAUAGCCAAUUUUGUGCUUGUUAUGACCGUUCUUCCCCUUUUUGCGUCAUGUAGUGGUACAGCUAAAAUAGCCUCACAAUUUAACCAUGCAAAAGAUUGUCAAUUGUAGUAUAAAGAAGCAAGGAUCGUUCAUUGCCAGAAAUUGAGGGUAUUUAAUUUCACACACAAAAACAAUGUCACAAAAGUGUCUACUGUUUCUGACGAACAACAGACUAAAAUAUAAUUAACUACCUAACCUACACUACUCAGAAAAUUAUGAAAAUGUAUAAAACUAAACUAGACACACAGAAGAACACGCACACAAAAUUUGAGGGGAUUUGGAGUUCGUUUACUAUACUAAAUAAAUCACGAAAAACAGAAGACAAAAGAAUAAGAAAACAGUUUUGAUUUGUAGUUUGAGAAAUAUGAUAGAGAAGAGGUUAGGGAUUUAGGAAAUUCACCACCGAAUAUGCUUCAAAAUAAAGUUCACACAACCAAGAUUCCAAUUACCAAGUUAUCACUACUAGAAGUUAGGACUUAUGUGACGAAAUGGUUUCGUCGCUUAAGAGUGAAAUUUCGUCGCAUAUGUAUUUAUGAGACGAAAAUUUCGUCGCUUAAGAGUCGUCGCAUAGGUACCUAGCAACGAAAAUACAUUUUUCGUCGCUUAUGUUCCUCUUAAGCGACGAAUUACGUUUCGUCACUAAACUACUUAAGCGACAAACAGAGAUUUCGUCGCAUAAGUGCCUCCUAAGCGACGGAAAAAAAUUCGUCACAUAAACUUAUGCGACGAACAUUUCCAACUUAAGCGACGAAAUAUUUUGUCACUUAAAUGUUUUCAAUAUAAUAAAAAAAAUAUUUUAAUUAAUUUAAUUUGAUUUUCAUUUUUAAUAAAAAAUGUUGUAAUUUAAAUUAAAAAAAAAAAUUUAUUUUGCAGUUUCUGUUUUAUUUUGUUUUUUAGUUUUAUUUUGUUUUUCAGUUUGUUUUUUUGUUUUUGCCGGAUCGAUCUCGCCAAAGGAGGUGGUGGUGGCGGAGGAAGAAGAAGAAGCUAGAAGAACCGGAUGGGGGGUGGUGGUGGUGAUGAAGAAGAAGAAGAGGGGGGGGGGGGUGAAGAAGAAGAAGAAGUGGUGGGGUGAAGAAGCUAAAGGCUAAAGAAGAAGGUAGAAGAAGGAAGAAGAAGAGGUGGGGUGAAGAACCGGGAGGGGGGGGGGGUGGUGGUGGUGAAGAAGAAGAAGAAGAACNNNNNNNNNNNNNNNNNNNNNNNNNNNNNNNNNNNNNNNNNNNNNNNNNNNNNNNNNNNNNNNNNNNNNNNNNNNNNNNNNNNNNNNNNNNNNNNNNNNNNNNNNNNNNNNNNNNNNNNNNNNNNNNNNNNNNNNNNNNNNNNNNNNNNNNNNNNNNNNNNNNNNNNNNNNNNNNNNNNNNNNNNNNNNNNNNNNNNNNNNNNNNNNNNNNNNNNNNNNNNNNNNNNNNNNNNNNNNNNNNNNNNNNNNNNNNNNNNNNNNNNNNNNNNNNNNNNNNNNNNNNNNNNNNNNNNNNNNNNNNNNNNNNNNNNNNNNNNNNNNNNNNNNNNNNNNNNNNNNNNNNNNNNNNNNNNNNNNNNNNNNNNNNNNNNNNNNNNNNNNNNNNNNNNNNNNNNNNNNNNNNNNNNNNNNNNNNNNNNNNNNNNNNNNNNNNNNNNNNNNNNNNNNNNNNNNNNNNNNNAAGAAGAAGAAGAACCGGAGGGGGUGGUGGUGGUUUAGAAGAAGAAGAAGUGGUGGUGGUGAAAAAGAAGAAGAAAAGUGGAGGGAAAGUUUUGGCGGAAUGAUUCAAAAUUCAAAAUUUUUGGCGGAAAUGACAUAAGCGACGAAAUUUUUCAAUUUUCGUCGCAUGAGUGAAAAAUUCAAAUUUUUUGGCAGAAAUGACCUAUGCGAUGAAAUAAAAAAUUUUGUCGCAUGAGUGAGAACUAAUGCGACGAAAAAAAAUUUCGUCGCAUGAGUCACAACUUAUGCAACGAAAUAAAAUUUUCAUCGCAUGAAUCCAAACUUAUGCAAUGAAACACGUUUCGUCUUAUAAGCACUCACUUAAGAGACGAAAAUUUUCAAUUUCUUCGCUUAAGUACUCACCUAAGAGAGGAAUCCAGUUUUGUCUCAUAAGUGAUCACUUAAGAGACGAAAUUGAAAAAUUUUGUCGCUUAAGUACUCACUUAUGAGACGAAAAAUAAUUUCGUCUCUUAAGUGGUUACUUAAGCGACGAAUUUGAAAAAUUUCGUCUCUUAAGUCUUUUUUCCUAGUAGUGUAUGAACAGGUUCAAUCAAGAAUAAACCAUAAACGCACUGCGUAAAUUCUUACUACUUCCUUUAACUACUUAUGCAAGAUGAACGCACCAUUACUAAGCCUUUAGAAUAACCAAUCAAGGUAUAGACGCUAUCCUAUCAACAAGUUAUUCUAAGCAUUAAGAUCAAUGGAAGUGAUUGAACAAGUAUGCAAAACUAGUGUGAAACGCCUACCUAGCAUGCAAGUCUCUCUAUUUGGUUUCAUCUAUUGUCCUAUAGGUUUUACUACUUUGAAUUAAGCCGUAUUAACCGUUUACGAGAUUAAACAACCUAAUUCUAGCCUCACUUACAAAUUCAUAAUGUUCUAUGUAUGCAUCCAUGAACAUAAACAAGCAAGAGUUCCCUAUAAACCAAAACCAAACAGACAAUCCAUAACUAAGUAAUAACGAAAUCAAGGUUGUAAAACAAAGUUUAUUGCAUAAUUCGGGGCUUCAAACCUUCACCCCUAACUAAGAUAAACUAGCCACACAUCGUUGUAGAAAUCACACAGAGAAAAUAAAUUCGAAAGUUAAAGAUUACAAAGGGAAGACGAAAACUGUGAAUGGAAGGAAUGACGAUGAUCUUGGCGACUUCCCCUUGAUGGAUUCUUGUGCGAUGCAGCAACGUGAAGGCUCUCUUGCAGUAUGACGGCUUAGAGUCGUUCUGGUAUUAGGGUUUUGCUUUAAGUAGUCUCCAAGUCUUCAAAGCUUCUUUUUCAGACUAUGUUUCCUUCUUUGACUAGGAUCAAUGUUUGGGCUAUCUUUUGAAUGUCUUCCACAUAUAAUCUGGGCUUGGCUUUUGGGCAAAUUAUAUUAAUGAUGUCACUUUUCAAAAUCGUGUAAAAAACCCCCUAAGAAAGCUUCUCAAAAUUCAACCCAAACACUGCCUCGAACUUGACUGCUGCACAGCUUUCCCGGCACUGCUGAUUUUCUGUCCAACUUCGACGCUUCAUAAAUCCUAGAUGCCAUCACCGAUUUGGAUGAUUCUUGAGUUCAAAUUGAUCUACAAAUGCUCCUCUACAAAUCUGGGCAGUCAUCUUGGUGAAACCAUUCUCGGAAACAGCAUGGAAAUAAGCCUUGAAAACCGGAGAAAAUAAGCAGAAACCAGUUUUCAGCUAUUUGUGUUUGCAGUUUCUGUUUUGGGUGAAGUGGUUCCAUCGCCUUUCCUUGAUAUUUUUGACCAUGUGAGUGAUCAAUCUCCAUCCUUGACAUCUCUACUUCGUAUUGGAAGCCUUGCUUGCAUCACUAGAGCACAUUUACAUUAUCUUGCUCCACGAAGUACAUAAAAAAUAACAAAGUUAAAACGAUCUUUUUAAAGGAAAAUAGACAAGUUAAAUGCAAAGGUUAAACUAUAAAAUUGUCGCAUUUUAUGCUCCUAUCAUGUAGCCCAGAAACCCAUCUAGCAACUCAAUCUCUUCCUCGCCCUUCCAUUGCCGCUCAAAUUGACUCCUCUAUGUGUCAGCGCCACCGACGGUUUAUUCUCCUUUGGCACCAGCAGUAAAAUCGGGUUGUAUUGGAUCGUCCACAGCCGCUUCGAGUCCAAUCGUCUGAAACCACUGAUCCAACCGUUUGAAACCAUCACCGUCGCGGUUAUCACUGAGCAGUCAACGCAACAAUAACGGUGGGAGGAGCGAUGCCAAUGACAACGAGGGCAAAAUCAGAAGUGGAGGAGGGGAAGGCGGUGUUGAUGAUGUCAUCGUCGUCCUCGUAAACAACAUCGUCUUACGAGGAAGAGAGAAUUCUGAUCCUUAUGGCAAAAUGUUGAGGGUUGGGUGAUGAGUCUGUUGGUGGUGGUGAUGUCAUGAGAGAGAGAAAAUGGGGAAGAAAAUGGCUACGGAUGGUUUAGUUAAGCAGAGAGAUACUUAGUUUCAUCAGUCUGUUUAGUGUACGAAAAUACCCUCACAUGUCCGUCUAUGUGGACAUAAAAGUUAACAGAAUUGGCUUAUUUAAUGGUUGGGUAGCAAUUCGGCCAAUUUUAAAAUCUUAGGGUAACAAAAUGACAUAAUUAAAAGUUAGGGUAACAAAUUGACAUCAUAGUGAAAACUAGAGUAGCAAAUCGGCUAAUAAGCCUAAUGGUAAAUAUUUGGUGAAUAAAAUAAUAAUCUAUUCAUUUUUCUGCCUUUCUAUAAAAAUUAUCAAUGAUAUAACUUCGCGCACGAAAUUCAAUUAUCGUAACCUACUGACAUUGGUUUAGAAACAUGUUAGGCACUUAGGGUGCAAAUAUGAUGGACGUUGCAAGGAUUCUUCGAUCUGUUAAGAGCAUCUCACCAACAGCUUCCUCAUUUUCUUGAAUUUAUCAAUUUUGAGGAAUAUAUAGUUGUUUUUAUGUCCAACAGUUUCCCCAUCUCAUUUCUCAAAAUGGGGAUGGAGAAGAAAAAGAAAUUUUCAUUCUUCAAAUUUGCAGCAAAGUCUUCCUUCUCUAAAAUUUAAUUCUUCACGUGUUCUAACGAAUUCAAGACAACAAUAUAAUAUUUUAUUGAGUAUUUUAUUAUUACAAUGAAAUAUAUAGUGGUCUUUUGUUAUAAUUAAUAAUGAUAUAGUCUAUUUUAUUGUUGCAUUAAAUGCCUAAAUCUUCAAAAUGGAGAAGCUGUUGGAUUUUGAGUAUAAAUUUUUUUAGAGAUUUUAGCUUUUGUUUUCCAUUUUAAAAAAAUUUUAAGAAAGCGGUUAAAGAUCUUCUAAUAUAUAGAAGGUGAUUUGAACCUCGGUCUGUGGAAAAUAUGCUUUGAGGAGAUGUCAUACAUAUAUUGUUUCUGACCACGAAGUAUUAGCUCACCCACCUCCCGUAGUUUUGACGAAAAAUAAAUAAAUUAUGGCAUGACUAUGUACGUUAUAACCGAUGGCAUUUAUUUUCAAAAUUUUAUUUUUGUAGUUGUCAACUGCUAUAGAGAAAGACAAAAAAUAAAAAGUAAAAACAAUCAUGAUCAUGUCUCUCUUUUUUCGAUUAAAAGUCAUGAUCAGAAGUUCAGAACUUUAGAAGCUUAAAGGGCCCUUUCAUUCUCAUUAUAUCUUAAUGAAAAUGAGAGUUUCACACGCUGUGUCGAAACGCUGCGUCGAUCUCUCUUCGUGAUUUGUACAGGGGUAUUUCGGGUAAUUAUAGCAGAGAAACCCCAUUACUCUACAGUGACUUGUUUGAGAAGUAGAGAGGAGGGACGAAAAAGUGACUAAGAGCAGAGCAGAGAGCUCGGAAUUCUCCGGCUCUCUUUUUCUCUCUCCUUUUUCGUCUUUUAGGUUACAUUUUCCGGCGAACGGAAAGCAAGUGACGGCCGUGAGCGAGAUGGCGUUCGACUCUCUCAAACAACCAGAAAUCUCGACCUCUCGGUUGAGCCGCUUGUCCUUUCAUUUUCAAGAACCCGAGCGCUCCACCGUCGAGACAGGCCGGCUCGUCUUUGCCGCCGCCGGUUCAGUUCAACGUGAAGACGACGACCGCUGUGGGGUAUACAUCUCUCUCCCUAUCGGUUCUUGACGUUGUUUAUUGUGUUGCAUAUAUAUAUAUAUAUAUAGGUAGCGUUAAUCGUUUUUAAUAUUCUAUUAUCAAAUCUUUGAAUCGUCACUGUGUGUAAAUUUGGAUGAAGCCAAAGAAAAGAUGGUAUGCUCUUUUUCGGAUUGGAUUGAUGCUUUUGAUGAUGCUUUUGAGCGAAUUUAUAGCAUUGAAAAUUGAAUGUGUAUAAUAGCCUGUGAAAUUUGUUUCAGUUUCUUAUUUGUGGAGUUAAUUGUGUUGUAUAUACAUAGCAGGAUAGCAGUGAAUCGUUUUUUUUUUGGUAUUCUCUGAUAAAAAUUUUGUUAAAAAACGUAUAUACAAUGAACAUUCAACUUACCGGCUCUGUCUAGGUAUAGAAGUGCACCUUCUCCAUAGCAAUUGUGAUGCUAGUUUUGUGGUUUUGCCUAUUUGUAGGAUAUUCGUUGUGCUAGGGGAUCAUUAACUCCAAGCUCGUCUUGUAAAGGUUUGUACAGAUUUCCGCAAGAGUUCUGCACAAAUGCAUAAGUUUCUUUCUCUAAAUCCUCUACUAUUUGCCAAAACAGAGAUAAGGGGCAAUUCUUCUGCAAGGGAUGGACAUGACAUGGAUAUUGCAGGGUUCUGCCAUAUGAUUUUUGUUGAGAAUCUUGAGAAAGGAAUCCUACCACUUACAAUUACGGAUUUCAUAUUCCAGCAGCUUCGUAUAUCAUGUCAAGCAUUUGUUUUGCCAAGUAAUCCAUCAGAGGCAUAUACAAGAGGGAUUACCAUGGUCAACAACAAAAGGAACCUUGAUCUGUUAUCUGAUUUUUUGGAAAGUUCAGAUCACGUCGUCACUCCCUCAAGCGGAAGGUAUAUUUUAUAUUUUCUUUCUGCAAUUUUAAACUACUUACAACUGGUUAGUGUAGAUAAGGUUUCAAUCAUUUCUGUGAUUUCAUUCCUAACCAAUUAGAGUUUACAAGAUUCUGAAACUUUAGCAUUUCAUUGGUUACUUAUGUUGUUUAUUUUUACAUCUAUGCAGGCCUUGGGUAGUAACUGGGAGACUAAGAGUAUCAUUUAAAACCUGCAAGCUUACAACUCAGGUUAGUUUCGUAUAAUUUUUCAUAUGAUUGUGACUGUAAUGGUGGAGAAUCCUCUUUUUCUUUGUGUCAUCCUGUGAUAUCUGGUCAUUGAAUAUGAAGAUCAGGUACCAGAUUUCAUUGAAAGAUACAUUGGAUGUGCCAUUAUAAAUCAUGUAGUUACCAUUUUACCCCAAUAAAUAACUAGAUAAUUUUUCUCACAGAACCCCUCUUUGUACUCUCUCCCUGCAUAAGAGAGAAAGGAUAGUAAAUCCUCAUAGACUAGCAUAGAGCAUCAAUUUCCACUAACCAAAAGAAAUUUCUGUAUUGAUGUGCAGACGACUUUUAUGACAGAGCCGAAGCAACAAUAUGGAUUGUGCAUCUCAAAUGUGGAGAGAAGGGUGAGCUUAUAUGUAUUUUGUUUUAAUUAUCUGCUUAAUAUUUCAAUGUUAUUUCAACCGUAUAUUAAAUAUUUUAAUGUUAUUUCAACCGUAUAUUAAAAAUAACAUAAAUGUUCAUUCUGAUGCGGAUUUAACAGAUUGUUUGUGGGACAACUAUUGUGGCUUUUAUCCUUGAAAAUUUCAUCUUCAUUGGUACGGACACUAGGGCUACCGAUUAUUCAGGCUCUGUGACGAGAACUAAUGUCAACAAAUUGCGUUUGCUCACUGAACAUAUAGUAGGGGCUAUGGCUGGGGACGGAGCAGCAUGUCUAGGAUUAUGGGUUCAUUUGCGCGGGUUGAUUAGAGACUAUAACGAGAAUGAGACCCGAAACAGGCUUGGCAGUAAAAGGAGCUCAGACCGCCUUGGAGUGAAAGUAGUGGCACGACGGGCAUUGGACUAUUUGAAGAGAAAAAACGAGCACGACACUGAAUUGUAAUAGCAGGCUAUGAGUCAACUGGACGAGCUUCCAUUUUUUUAAUUGAUGUCAAUGAUCAAUAUCCCCAGUCUUACACAUCUGUUGUGAUUGGGAGUGGGGCGCCUGCAGCUAAAUUGAUAUUCGAUCCUCAGUAAGUGAUUUUGUUUGUCAUCUUGGUAAUAGAUUGAAAGACUAUUUAUGUUUAAUAAAUAUAACUAGCUAAUAUAUAUUUUCUCUAGGAUAUACAUGAGGCAGAGCUUGUCCGUGGAGAGUGCAAAACUUUUAUCUUUGGAUGCUCUAAUUGCAGGAGCUGUAGAAGAUUCUGAUACGGGCGACUCUUUGAACGGUGAUCACCCCAUCUCUACUUUAGUUUAAAAAUAAUUUUUACUGACAUAAUUAUGAUAGAAGUGCCUAUAAACUUUCCAAUAAAGUGAUAAUCAUGCUAGCAGUUGCUACCUACUUUUGGUACUUAACUAACCGAGAAAGUUUAACUCCAUAUAUACAUAACCAGCCGAUAGAAUUUUACUCCAUACACACCUUUCUGACCUCACCACUCUCCUAAAACAUGUCAAACAGUCAAAGAGUUGUACCUCCUUUUGGUACGUAUGACAGAUUAUAGAAGAAAAAUUAUCGAAGAAAUAGGUUUUGAGCUGUGGACUAGUUUUGCUUCAAUGUCUUUCUUGCAUGCGAUCAUUUUAUUGGAUAUCUUAUGUAGCUCAAAUAUACCUUUCACAUUAGUUAUUUGAAGUAUGACUUUAUUCUUUAACAGUGUAUCAGAUGGUACCAGCUGGAGGAUAUGAGAUCCAAUUGACAAGAGAUGUUUUGGGAGGAUAUACUGAAAGGUACAAUCACCUCAACCUGAAGCCUGAAAACGAAGGUCGUGUUUUGUUUGUUCUCUUAGAAUCAGAAGAGCCUGUGAAAGAUCUCCUCCACUUCUUCAGGUAAUAGACUUGAAUGCCCUUCUUUUGAAGGCCCUGCUUUCUUUCCUUCAACUAUACACUUCUAUAAUAUUUUGAUACUUUGUUACCUUGACAGGUUAAGGAGAGUUUCUCGAUGUAUCAAUCUUGGACCUACCCUUCAUAACAGUAUAGUCUACAGAGUAGUAUUCAAAGAUCGUUUUGGGGCAAAAAAAGCAUAUGAAGAUUGUUGUUUUCAGUAUGAAAGGGACACCAUAAGUAAUACUAGAAGGGGAAACCCCAAUCCUUAUCACCCUUUUACAGUUGAUUUGACCCUUUUGGAGAUACCUGUGCGAUCGGUUUAUGUUCCUUCUCUGGACAAGACUGCUUUAGUUAGUCAGAUAACAUCUGGGGAGCAUGUAAGGAUAUUAAGAGAAGUUCCCUUUCAGCACUGGCCUUUAUCAGAAGAGCAGCAGGCUUGAUUAGCUUUUGUUUUGUGUAUACGGGGUUAGGAUUUAUGAUAUUCCUAAGACUAAUCAAUUACUGCGUUAUUCCCCUUGUGUACAAUUGAACUUAUGAGGCUUUUCUGUUUUGAUUUGUUUUGAGCAGUAUGACCUUUCUGAGUAUGAUUCCUUGUUACACAAGAUAGACAACUCCGGGUGCAUUAUGAACCCCGAGAGAUCCCAAUACUUAUCAGGCAUGACAAAUUUAGGAGAACUCGAUGCCCAAUGAUGUAAUCCUUGCCCGCCGCCGAUAUCUUUACAUGAAGUGUAGUCCUUGCCCACCGUCGCGCAUCCCAAGACAGCUUUUUUCUAUAUCUCCACACCCCAAGAGCACUUGCAUAUGAUUGCCCAGAUGCAGACGUAGAUGCUCCAUGUUCCAUAGGUGGGUUUACCAACCACCAAGUUUGUGGUCAACUGGUCGGAUAAGGAUCCUCUCCUCGGCUGCCUGCUCUCCUUGACUCUGAAUCUUGUCCAUUCAUUCGAUAUCUGACGGUCAUAAAAGAUGACACCUCAGCAAAAACCCACUAAAACUUAUUAAAUAAACAUAUUAAUUGUAAACGUCGUUUAGGAGAAGAAGAAGACGUUAAGUCAUACACCAUCUCUUUAUCUCUUCUUGCCUCUUCCUUUCUUGAACACUUUUUUUUUUUAACAUCUGAAGGAGUACGGAGAAAGGUCGACCGCUUUCACUACCAGCAAACAUAGCAGCUCCGCCGCAGAUCUUCUUGAUCAUCCCUUCUUCCAUUCAUUUAUGCUUUCUUCUUCUAUCUUUCUCUCAAUUAGUUUCUUCUGUUCUUUAAUUGAACUAACAAGUUAUCUUCUGCAAUGGCGAAUAAGUUUGCCUGGAAGCUAAUUUGAUUAAUUUGUUGAAUCAACGCCGGCCACCAGCUUAUGGUUCAUUCAUUUUGUUUUUCUUUAUUCAAGCUUUUACAGAUGUUCAAAACUACGAACUGAUGAAUUUAUAUUGGGAGGCAUCGAUCAAAUCUACAAUGGGUUUUAAAAAUCUGCACAGAACCAUAAUCAAUAUCAAAAUCAUAUGGUGUAUGACUGUAUGUAGAUUUAAAGAUCCAAUUUUGUAAACUAGAACAAGAUUCAGUUUAACUUUUGUUGCCUAUCAAUGAGAUUAAUUAUGCAGUCCAGCCAGAUAUCAAAUUAAACACAUAUAUCAAAUCAAAUCUCCAACAGAAAAUAUCCAUCCUCACUUCAAUGGGUUCGAGUAAAAUUACUCAUUUGAUUAGUCAAUGUUUUCCCUGGAAUCAAAUUCAAAUCCAAAUUAGUCCUUGAUUGCCCAGAAAAUUUAGUUGGAAAACAGAUUGAAUGAGACAUCUCCUCACCUUGAAAAGCCUCAUGCCCUUGGGAAGCCCGACCUUUGGCGUGAAAGAGAACAAGAAUUGAUCGAAGCUUCAGCCAUAAGAAUCCCCAGAUCCAGAGGAAGAAUAAGAGGAAGGAUGAAUUAACGAAGAUGGAGGAUGAGAAGUAAAGUUUUCGGUCUAAAAACUAAGGAGAAGUUGAGUUUUGAGACAUAACGUUACGUUCAAAACGACGUCUGCAAUUAAAGUGUUCAUUUAAUGACUUCUAGUGGGCUAUUGAUGAGGUGUCAUAUUUAGUGACCGUUAAAUAUCGAAUGAAUGGACAAGAUUCAAAGUCAAGGAUAAAUAAAGAGAGCAGGCAGACCAUUCAAUAAUAAGAAGCUGAUACGUAGAUCAUCUAUUAUUAUAAAGGAAAAUGUUUAUUUAGUACUAAUUUAAACUUCUUAUUUUUCAUUAGCUCAUUUUAAUAUAAAGUAACAUUUUUUAUGCCCAAAUGCAUAAAUUUUUAUGCUCAAAUACACAAAUUUUUACUAAAGUCUUAACAAACCAUAUUAUUUUAAGACUAUUUUGCCUUCACCUCUUAAACAUGCAUAGAGAGAGAGAAAAUGAAAGAGAGAAUACUUGGCCGGAAUCUCACUGGACUCCGGUCACCGGCCGGUGGAUUUCUCUGAUCGCCGGAUUCCGGCCACCGGUGACUCGGUUACUGACCCCCAAUAAUCAGUUACUGACCCCUAAUGAUCAGGUACUGACCCCAAUAACUUGGUUAUUGACCCCCAAUAAUCGGUUACUGACCCCCAAUAAUCAGUUACUGACCCCCAAUAAUCUUAGUUAUUGACCCUCAAUAAUCAGUUACUGACCCCUAAUAAUCAGUUACUGACCCCCAAUAAUCGGGUACUGGCCCCAAUAACUUGGUUAUACUGACCCCCAAUAAUUACUAAACAUUACAUCACCACAAAAAAACUUCUCUUUCAAGCCUUCCAGAUUUUCCUCCCCGAUCUCACAGAUUUACAGCCUGCACUCCCCAAAACGGACCAACACCCCCGACGUAAUUUCCUCUCUUCACACCCACCUAGAAAUCAAAUCAACGCGAAACAAUCAAAGAAACCAAAAAUGAAGAGUAAAAGAGAGAAGAGAUGUAGAGGUGACAAGCGGUUUGGAAGAGAAACCCAAAUGUCUCCAACUGCCUCUCUAGAGAUCAUACGUCCCUUUCCUCUACUUCUACUCCCUUCCUAGCACCACAACCACACACAAAUCUCCACCUACCUCAAGAAAUCUCUCCUUCCCUCAGAUCCGACCCGAGCACCCGACCUUCAUCGACGACCUCCUUGACAGCAGGGCAGCGGCUUUGGCAGGCAAGGAGAUCUGGUUAAUUCCGGCGAUGGGAGAAACGACGGUGAGAGAGAGAUAGAUCAAGAGAGGAGAGAGACAAGAGAGAGAGGUGGAAUGGUUGCCGCAAUUCCUCGUCGUUGCCGUGAAUGUCGCGGUCGUCGUCGUUGUCGCCGGAGACAUCUCACCAGUGAUGGCUUCGCCUUUGAGGCAGCUUCUCUGCUUCAAGAGAGAGAGAGGAGGUCGAUGUGUUUUGAGCGGAGGUUGAGGAGGAGGAGAGGCGAAUCGUCGGUCGCCGGCUUCGAUCAUCGGUCGGAGGUUUCAAGUUUUUGGUGGAGCGACUCGGCUAGAGAGAGUUUAUUUCAGAUCGGGAGAGAGAGAGAGAGAAGGGUAUGGUUGAGUGAUGCGAGGGCAAUAUAGUCAAUUUCAUGAGAUUUGUUGGAAUGAGUUGCUAGAAAUGAUUUUCAUUAGAAUGGACACUUAUUAUGAUGUUUUUGUGCAAAUUGGCAUUUUCCCUUAUUAUAACUAACCAUGGUAACUCACAAUAAUGACUAUGAGUUAGAAAAAUAAAUUUAAUAAGGAAAAAAACUGAUAUUUAUCAUGUGAUUAAUCACCCUCUUCGUCUCUCCCAACUCUUUACCUACUAACCAUAGGCCUCGUUUGGUUCACGGAUUAGAAAUAUUAGGAAGAGAAAGUUAUUCGUUUCCUUUAUUUGGUACACCUAAAGAAAAGAAAGAUUUUACUGCAAUAUGAGAAAAUAGAUGAGAAAUUAGAUCCUUCCACAUACCAUGAGAUUCAAUCUCCUUCAUACUUUCUUAACAUUAAUUGCAUCUUUCAAAUAUUAUUUUUAGGAAUGUUAUUACCAAAUUAUCCACAAAAUAAAAAAAUACAUUUCCUAGUUACUUUUCUAACGUUCCGAAAUAUCUGGUAUGAAAACUAGUGGAAAAUUUACUUUCCAAUGUACAUAGGAAAGACCAAGGAACCAAUUUUAUUUCCAUCAACCAAACGAAACCAUAAACCUAGAUCUGCAGCAACUCAAAAAAUCCCAGCAAACUCCAAUUGCAGAACCUCUUAAAUGGAAGAGAGAAAAACUCAUCUAACUACCCAUCAGCAGGCAAGUUUAUCUUUCACCCAUAAUCACCAGUUCACCACAACAACCGUAUGGACCCGGCCAUAUCUCCGACCCCUCUCUGGCUGAGAGACUUUUCUGUUAACGUCUUGACGAUGUUGAAGUCGAAAAUUUUCACCAAAGAAGAUGGUGGUUGUGGAUAUGUUAGGACUCUUGUCUACAAUACCUAUUAGAGUGGGCUAAUUACCUAAGUGGGCUACUCAUUUGUUUUGGGCUAACACUUAUAAGUGGGCUCGGGUCGGGUUAUACCCCUAAACGGGCAUUUAGGGUUCUAUGGUUGUUAGGGCUAUAUACUUCUUGAUGGAUUAUGAUCCCAUCAACUGGUAUCUCGAGAUCCAAGGUAAACCGCAAGCACGGUCGUUGGGCCGAUAAGGCACACAACGGGGAUGUUUUCUCUGAGAUUAUGGAACAAAUUUGUCAGCUUUGUGUGGGUACCGAAACUCCAAACGCUCCGACUGAUACAUCACAACUGCCAUCAACAAAUCUCUCUUCGCCACAAUCUCUGAUGUUUUAGAGCAACAUGUAAUCAGCCUCGCCUCACCAAAACACGAAAGCUGGGCCGUCUUCGUUUCCGAGGGCUCCACUACCUACGCCUCCCUCUCUUGUGCUCACGAGCUCAACCCCGAACUUGUCACCCUUCACCUCCUUCCAUCAAUAACCGAGAACGACCCUUCACAACUUUCUCUUGAAUCUGACGAAGCAGAGCUCUCAACCGGCGUUUCUUGUUGCCCCUCUUUCACACAAGGGUCUGAUGUUGAUGUCGAUGUUAGCAGUGUGACUACUGCUAUUGGGUCGAAAGUGGCCGAUAUGGUUGAGCCACUCGAACUAGAGACUGUUGAAACCUAUGGUUUUAGCCAUGAUGGUCUAAUCUCUAACGAGGGCAACCUUUGUCCUGAUUCUGCUAUGGUGCUGAUUGUGAUGAAGGAUGCAUUUCACAACAAAAAGUUUACUCCGGUGAAUCAAUCUUGCAAGUUGGGUAAUUUUGCUCAGGCACGAAGGGUGUUGUGUGAUGCAGUUAAGUUUUCUCCUGAAUCCACCAUGAUUACUGAUGCUAGCUUCUCCUAUGGUAUUCUUUUUGAAGAAAAUUUGUUUGCUAGAGAAAAAAAUGGACUAGUGCAAGAGAAUACUGAAAUGGGUGCAAUGAAACAACACUGUUUGUCUCAGGUCUCCUCUACUUUACAUCUAUAUCAUGAAGAAUUUGGAAGAGCUUUUGCACAUUUCCUGUUUGGUGUGAGUAAGCCCUAUAAUGAUAGUUUCUUGCCCUCUGAAGUUGGAGGCACUUGGCUUCUUGAUGAUAGGAUUGAGCACAUAAAUAGGGAUGUCGACACUCUGUUUGACAACAGAUCAACUAGAGAAAUUAAACUUGAUAGUUUCCUAGUUGCUACUGGUUUGGCUUCUGCUAUUGAUUCAAUCGGUAUAGCCCCUCUUGGUAGUUCUGACAUGGUUUCUAAGAGGUCAUAUAAGAUGGAGAUUGUUACUUCAUUGUCGUUGAUGGAAAUGGUAAUUUCUAAAGUGUUGAGCAUAGAAACUACUGAGAAAGAUCAAUCACUUAUAUGUCGAUGGCUUAUUUGUUUAUUCUUUCUCUGUGAUUGCAAAGAGAGCAUUCAUACACUCGCUGGUACUAGGAAUGCCUGGUUGACUGGAGAUCUUCUGUGUUUACCUCUUGCUGAUGACUUAGAGAAAACUAGACAGAACAGGCUACUUAGAAAAUUUGUUACUGUUAUGGCUGUCAGGAAGGAUACAGAGUUUGUGGCUUUGGGAAACAGAAAUGGAGAUAUAUGUGUGGUUAAAGUCAAGCAAUGGAGCAUGAAUUGGCUGCGCUCAGACAUCACAUUUCAUCUCCUGGUGUUAUGAACUUGCUUGACGUGGUCCCUGAACUUGCUUUUGCAAAAUUUAACCCCAAUGUUAUUCUAUUGGCUGGUUCACAAGGAGUUGGGACAAGAACAAUAGUCACUACAUUGCAAAUGAGAUUUUUGUUAUGCCAGGUCAUGUCACAGUGACAUGCCUGGGACAGUUGCGAGAUGCAAGUCUUUUAUUCUCCAGUGGCCUUAAUGAACCUCUCCAAGUCAAAUUGGAGUUAUCUUCUUUGAGUUACUCUUCUACUCUAAUUGUUUUAAUGUUCGCUGGGGAUAUUCAUUCACUUGUGCAUCUUAUUUUUCAAGCUUGGUUGUUAUUGCUUCAUGUACAUGAGUGAGGUCUUGCCGGUAGUAUUGUACCUCCCAACUCACCAUCCCUUCCGGUGGUUACACGAUUGUUUCCUUGGAAGUCUGUCUGUAAGAUAUCACUAGCUAUGGUGUUUGGAGCUGCCUUGUUUGUCGUGGAUAGUGUUAUCCCGGCCACUAAGUUGGUCCCUUGGAUUCCCUAUGUUGCUUCGAUGUUGUUUCUGCAUAUGCACAAUGCAGCGAGAUUAUUUCCCUCUCGAAUAGUGGAAUUUAUGGGACAUUAUGUGACGAAGGAAGAGACAGUCGCCUUUUGGAUUUGUUUUCGAACAAUACUACUACGUUUCCAGGUUUGGGUAUUUGACUUGCAUGGUUUGAUAGUAAUCACCACUCAAAUGUUAAUUGGUGAUGCAUUUUUGAUUGGCGAGCUCCUAUUUGAUUAUGCAUCUGACAUCAUUACAACUGGGUCAAUUGCUAUUAUUCAUGGUUGUCAUUUUGGCUUGGACUUGUACAUUACCAAUUCAUAUUCACACAUGAGUUACUGUUAUAUGUAUUGGCUGCACACAGUGGUUAGUUUACUGGAAAUGACUUGUCCAUGGGAAUGCUUCCUAGUUGCUUUUAUCAAUGGUCGUGUGGUUGUCAUGCAAUUUGUCAAAGAGGAUUUUCACAUGGUCAGCACUCCAUCAUGGUGUAAUCUACUCCUCAAGUGUGUUAUUCUUCCUGCUAUAGUUGAGUAUCAGCUAGUCGAGGCUACUAGACAAGUUUUUAUGAGUUUUGUUGAGUUGCAGAAAUUGGGUACUAUGUUUCUCAAAGAUAUUACUGGUGGUAGCCAUUAUCUAUUUGAAGAAGUUUUUACUGAUGACAAGCAGUACCCCAGUGCUGAGGUUCACUAUUUCACAUUCUUUCAAGAUGGUCCUUGGAUACAACGCUUUGGAAGCUUCAUAUGACCAAGAAUAUCAGAGUUGAUUAAUACUCAGUUUUCUUCAACCUUUGUUUCCAAAGAUGCUACAGAACUUGCAUUCCUUAUAAAGAUCAUCAAUUUUAGUUCUGAAUUUGAGACUGUUGUACGGGAACUGAAGUCUCUUUCAGUAUCUGCAAACGUCGAGGUUGAUUUUGCCUCUAGGGAGAAGACAGAAAUUCUGGACAGCGCUAGGAAUUUGUUUCUACAGUGUGAUUUUGCUAUUUCUCAAGAGAUCACGAGGAAAAGUAUGCAUGAUGGGGCUUCCAGCAAAAUUCUAUUAGAUGUUUACUGGUUCUUUUUGCUGAAGCAGUGUGUGGUGUCCAAAGCAACAAUUCUGUUUAUGAAGUUAAUGCAUAAGACACCCCAGGAUGUCGAUAUCUAUCAUUGGAGGCUCUUUGGCUCACAUUUGAGUAUUGCUUCGAUUUAUAACGUUUAAUGUCAGGGAGUAGAAUGCUUGUGGCUGACAAAUGAUGUUGGUCUCUUGCUCUUGGCAUUCUUGUACAAAUCUGUUCUCACUACAACAAGUACGAGGACCUUGAGGUUUCAUGUUUCUGCAUUUUCUGUCAUUGUUGGUGAUUAUACCAGCAAACGAGCGACCAUAGCAACACUUUGGGUUGCGAAAUCUUGCUAUGCAGAGCUUGUGAAGGGGUUUUCCAUACCACCAGCAUUAUAUCACAAACAUCACAGAGGAUGUGCUCUUUCUUCCACUCAACAGAUUGCUCAACUGACUCCGAUUUCCAGGCAGACUCUUCCCUUUGUUUUGGAAACACUGAUGGUUGAAGCCUAUGUGAUGAUUCUGGAGAGGAGACCGGUUUAUGCUGUCUUCUCUGGGCGAAUUUCUUGUUCCUUACAUGUUUAAGGCCUGAGGACAUGCCUUAUCUUAAGGGGUAAGGAAUGUUAGGACUCUUGUCUACAAUACCUCUUAGAGUGGGCUAAUUACCUAAGUGGGCUACUCAUCUAUUUUGGGCUAACACUUAUAAGUGGGCUCGGGUCGGGUUAUACCUUAAAUGGGCAUUUAGGGUUUUAUGGUUGUUAGAGCUAUAUAAGGCAACUUUACCUCUCUUGUAACGGUAUCCGAAUGAAUAUGAAUAUUUGUUAAUUUUAUUUUCUUUAAUUUCUCUGCAAUUUACUUCUUGAUGGAUUAUGAUCCCAUCAGGAUACAAACUUUUGGAUUAAUGGGAACUCUGUCUCUAUCUCUCUUUGAUUCUCUCUCUGUCUCUCAUGUGAAACGCAGAUUGGAAGAAUUGGUAUAGGUGAUCUCACUCUCAUAUCCUACUCCAUCAUUCUCCUCUCAAAUGAGUGGUCACCAAAGAAUUAACAGAAAAUGCAAGCCAAGCCCAGACACUAUCAACAAUAUCAGCCUAUUCAUCUCAGGGCGUGCUGAGUUAGAAAAUGAUGAAGACGAAUGGUUUAGGAUAUCAAAUAAGUAAUUAUAUAUGUGUAUUAUUUAUUGUAGUUAAAAUUAUUAUUAUUAUUUUUUUAUUAAUUAAGUUUAACAAUGGUUAAAGCUGGUUAUACGUAUCACACAUGGCAACUCUUUAGUGUUUGGUCAUACCAUGACCAUAAACUUGGUGGUUGACAAAUUUGAAUCUGGUAAAGUUUGAGUCGAGCCCGACAUGGAUGAAUCCAAUAGUCCCCUUCAAAGAGAUUUAAACACAAAAACAUCAUUUUACAUUAUUUUUAGGUUAAUAAUAACAGUUUUAACAAAUAAGGACUAAUUGUUUUCUAUUUACCCUGUGUCAUAAUUUAAUUUAUCAAAAUUAAAUUCGAUCUCGUCAUGUCUUGUUUUAGCAGCUAAUGCACUUGCUGGAAAAUUGCUGCUAUUGCACUUGCUGGUAAAUUAGCUACUACUGCACUCGAACUUAUUUAGUGGGUUGUUACUAAACUUUGGCUCAUCUAGUAUUGCUACUACACUCAUACUUGUCUAGUGCUGCUAUUGCACUCGUACUCGUCCAAAUCUGCUACUGCACUUGCACUCGUUAGGAUUCUACUUAAGCUGCUACUGUUGACAGGGAGUUGCUACUCGUACUUUUACAAUCCGCUACUACACUUGCUAGAAAUUAAGCUGCUACUGUACUCAUUUGAAUCGAACCUCCUACGUUACAACAUUUUCUAUUACAAUUUCUUUAGUUUUUACAAUUUUUUAUGAGUAAUUUAAUUCAAACAUUCUUAUUUUUUGAAAGAAAAAUAUUUCAUUGAAUUCACACAUUCUUAUAUGUUUAAUACACAUCUCUUUAAUUAUUAUUGCCAUUUUUUCCUUAAUACUUCCUCUUUCACCCUUUUGUUGUAUUCUUCCUUUCACUCUUCCAUCUUCAGAAAAAUCCCGUGGUAGAAAGCCAAGCAUUAUAAUAUAGGGAAACCUUGCAUGUAACUUAUCUUUCACUCCGAUACAGUCUCAUUUGUGCGAAGGAGAGAGGCUUGUCCAUAGUGGAGGUUGAAGGAGACUCAAAGCUUGUCAUCGAUGAAAUUAAUGACAUUUUUGCUACCCUCUCGAAGGAUCCUCAAGCUAGUACAAGAAAUUAGAAUUUUGAGGAACUCCUUUGAUUGCAUUAGUUACAAGCAUAUUUUUAGAGAGGCCAAUUUUGUAGCUAAUGUUGUUGCAAAUUUUGGCCACAAAGUAGGAGAUGUUCGUUUUCGAGAGGAGUGUGUUCCUCCGGAAGCUGGCCUAGCGUUGUCUUUUGACUCUAUAAACCGUGGGUGCACUAGAGGCACCUCUAUUUAAUCUAGUUGUUUUUUCAUCUUAAAAAAAGAAGAAAUUUUGAUUGAUUAACACUGAAUUCAAGGUUUCAUAUGGAAUGGAUGGCUUCGUAUGUAAUCCAAAUCAACCACAAUUGGAACUCGAAGUCUCUACGAUUUGCUUAUGUAGAUGCAUUUCAGAUUUGAAAAACUAGGUUGGUUGGUUAUAAUGAAAAAGAAUUUUAGAAUGAAUCAAAACUUGUAUUUGUUUGCUGCAUCAAAACUUGUGGUUGUUUACUUGUAGUUUUCUCUAUCUGGCAGCCAACCUCCGACCAAUUAGAUCGCCAGCUCUGACAUUUGCGAUCCUGGUGCUCGCGUAGAAUAGAAGCUGGAGUUAUGAUUAGUCUAUUUAAACAAGGGCAAAAUGAAAAUAAAUAUUUUAGGAUUAAUUUCAGUUUACCCCCCUAAGGUUUGGGGUUGACAUCGUGUCACCCUUCAUACUUUUAAUUUUGAAAAUUUACCCCUUAAAGUUUCAAAUUUUCAUAAAUCAUGCCUAAUUGCUGAAAUUUCAUUUAAUUCAGACGUUAAUUUUAACUUCAUAACUCACUAAAAAGGCUAAAAUAGUCAUAUAACAACAUAAAUCGCCUUUUAGGACCCUUUUUUCUAAGAUUUCAUGCUAGCAUUUAACCUCCAAAUUGAAUGAAAGUUUAGCAAUCUGGCUUGAUUUAUGAAAAUUGGAAACUUUAGGAGGUAAAUUUUCAAAAUUAAAAGUAUGGGGGGUGAAACGAUGUCAACCCUAAACCUCAGAGGAGUAAACUGAAAUUAAUCUAAUAUUUUAACAAAAAUAUAGGGUAUGUAUCUAGAAAAUAGCAAUGUGUUAAUAAAAUUUCUUUUUUUUAUUACAAUUUUUUUUGGUUUCUGAAUCGGGUGCGUCUAUUGCCACUCCAUAAACCACUUUGUUUACCCCACACAUUAUUUAUUGAAAGACCGAAAUACCAUGAUGUAAAAUUAUAGUAAAGGACAAUAAAUUAUUACAAAUUACAAAUUCAGUUUCUUAUAAUCUUUUUUUUGGAUGAAGACACACUUAAUAAUCUCUAACCCAAACUUUAUCAUAUUUGAUCGUUAUAUAGAGUUUGAAGACGCUAGCAGUUAACCUGAAGAUGAGGUGAACAGUUUGUAUUUUUUUUUUCUUCUGUUGUUUUCUUUGUUGAUGCUUCGUCUAUCUGUUUACUCAUUAUUUUUCAUGUCAAUUUUGUAUAUGUUAAUUUUCAUGUCUAAUCGCUCUUAUAUUCGAUUUUUUUUUUCAUCAGCAUCUUAGCUUUUCAAAAUAAUAGUCGUUUGAAGGAUUCUCAAUCCUAAGUUUUAGAGAAGGUAUGGUGAAUAAAGUAAAUUAAAAAGGGUGCGUCUAUUGCCACCCCACAAACCACUUUGCUCACCUCACAUUCUUUUCACACCCCACUCAUAUAAUUUUAAUUACAAGUCUACUUUGUUCACCCAUUAACAAUACCUAAAAUACCCUUUUAUCAAUUCUACUUUGUUCAUCCUGCAUUCUCUUCUCACCCUACAUAUAUUUUGAUAUAUUUUAUCAAAUUCAUAUUUGCUCAAGGUAAGUAAAAUCACCAACUGAACAAAAAAAAAUCACAUUAAAAUAUAAAUCCUAGUUAAAGAACAAGAAACAUCUCUCAAAUUUAACAACUCAAUGGUAUCAGUCGAUAUCAUGAUGCACAAUGUCUGUAAAUGUAUCUUUAGGAGCAACGUCUUCCAUACUUUUGAGUUCUUCAAUGAAUCUAUGUGUUGUUCAUAAAUAAGGUAUAGUACGUAGUUGUCCAUAAGAAUUUAGAUUCAAAGUCGACAUGGGAAAUAAUGAGUAAAUGGAUAGACAAAUCACCAACAAAGAAAAAAAGAAAAAAAAGAAACACAAAUAGUUUACCUUAUCUUCAGGUUAAAUGUUGGUGUCUUCAGACUCACGACUGAUGAUAAAUCUGGGUUAGAGUUUAUAAAGUUUGUGUUCAUCUAAAACAAAAAGAUAAAAAAGAAAAAAAAAAUUGUAAUUUGUAACAACUUAUCGUCCCUUACUGUAAUUUUACAUUAGGGUAUUUUAGUAUUUCAAUAAAUCAACAACAUGUGGGGUGAGCAAAGUGGUUUGUGGGGUGGCAAUAGACACACCCAUUAAAAAUUAAAAAAUAUAUAAAGGAUGAGAAGAGAAUGUAGGGUGAACAAAACAAAUCUGAAAUUGAAAAAAUAUAUGUAGGUGAGAAGACAACAUAGGGUGAUCAAAGUAGAAUUGGGAAAAAUGUAUUUUAGCCUUUUUAGGUAUUGUAAAUGGGUGAACUUACAAUUAAAUUUAUAUAAAUGGAGGUGUGAAGAGAAUGUGGGAUGAACAAAGUGGUUUGUGGGGUGGACGCAUCCUUUUGAAUCCUACCCGUUUUUAAUUUCUGGUUCCGCCACUGGGUGUAUUAUGGACUUUUAAUUUAGAUAAUUCUUAAACCUUUCUCAUAUGUGUUGCCAAAAACGGAACGGAUUCAAUACACCAUGGUGCACUUAAACCACUAACUGAUCAACAAACGGUGGUUAUGACAAAAAGAAAUUGAAUAUUAGUAAAAACCCAGAAAACAAAGUGAAGAUAUCUCCCCCAAAACCUAGUAAAAAAUUGAAUACAAGUAUAAACCCAGAAAACAAAAUAUGUCUCUCUAAUCACCCCCAAAACCCAGCAGCUUCGACCCCUCCCAUGUUGGCGUCGCCAGUUCUCUUGCUCCCAAGAUUGUUCCUCUCGCUUCUCUCCCCUAAAAGAUCGUAGAAGACAUCACCAAAGACUUGAAGGUUAAGGUCUCUGUCGUCCCCUCCGCCGCCGUCGUCGUCAUGAAGCCCAAGCGCGAGGAACACCGGCCAAAUUCGUCCACUCUUCCAGUUCUUCUUCUUCCUCUUCAAUCUUGCUUCCAGUCCUUAUGUAAACCCAUCACUAGUAGAGAUGGCAUUAAAACCCAUGGGUAUGGGUACCCAUGGGUAAAAUAUGUAUUGGGUUUUAAUUUUGGGUAAUGGGUAUACCCAUUUUCAGCAAUGGGUGGGUAUGGGUAUUUUAAAAAAAACUCAUGGGUGUGAUGAACUGGGUACGGGUAAUACCCGUGGGUACCCGGAUAACACUCGCAAACCCAAAAUAUCUCUUCUCAGUGGAUCUCUCUAAAUCUCACCGUCAGAUCUCUCUAAACCUCAUUGUCGACGCCUCCCGCAACCUCUGGUUCCGCCUCUUCGUCCCCUCCACCACCACUACAUCCUCCUCCUCUCUGCCCGUCAUCGUUUUCUUCCACGGCAGCGACUUUAGCUUCCUCAGCCCCGACAGCUUCGCCUACGACGCCGUCUGCCGCAAAUUCGCCCGCAUAAUCCCUGCCGUCGUCGUCUCUGUCAACUACCGCCUCUCCCCGGAGCACGGCUACCCCUCCUAGUACGACAACAACCUCGACGUCCUUAAACCUCGACGCCCUCCCUGACCUUGCCGACCUCUCCCGCUGCUUCCUCGCCGACGCCAACAUCGCGCACCACGUGGCAGUGCGGGCCUACCGGAAGAGUUUCAAGUCGUGAAACCGAUCGGGUUGGUCUUGAUCCAGCCGUUCUUUGGCAGUGAGGAAAGAACCGUCGGAGAUCGAACUCCGGGGAGUGUCGCUGGUGUCAAUGACCCGAACCGAUUGGCUAGUAUGGAGUACCCGACGACGGUGGUCUAAAAACCUAAAAUAAAAAUCUAAAAAACGUGGGUAGGUGUGGGUAAUGGGUGUGGGUAUGGGUUUUACCCGUUUAAAGUGGGUGGAUAAUUACCCAGACCUAACAUUUUUAAAAUAGGUAUUACCCGCGAUUUUUUUUUGGGUGGGUAUUACCCAAUGGGUUUUAAUGCCAACCUUAAUCACUAGCUUUAGAUUGGACCAUGCUGCCAAGUCCAACACCCAUCUCCGCCGUGUACGCCUAUUUCCGACCAAGUAGAUCGAAUAGCGUCGUCAGCUCGGACAAAAGCGACGUUUGACUAGGUCCAAAAAUCUUGUAUGGUGGUGAUGGUGAUAGUGGUGGUGGUGGUGGUGGUGGUGGUGGUGGAGGUGUGUGACGGCGGUGAACCGGUUGUGGAGUAAAAGAAAGAGAAAAGAAGAAAUUGAUAUUUCUUUAGGUAAAUAUCUGAUUAUUUAUUAUGGUAACUUUUUUUUUCUGAUAUCUUUACAGUAUUAGUACCGGUGUUUCUGCCAUAUAAUGGAUAGAUUAAAUGAAUGGUUGAGAUUUCAUCACAGAACUCAGUUUACUUGUACUGCAUACAAGAAUUUUCGUUUGAUGAUACCUAGGAUCUUGGGCUGAUGGAGUGCUAUAACAUAGGCCCAUAAAAGGAGCCUGGAACUUUCAGAAUUCACGAUAUCCCCAAAAAUAUACACAUUCUGAAGAGGAGAGGUGGAUCGUCUUUUAUCUCCGCUUUUACGCCAAAUCCUAACUAAGAUCUCCGUCAAUGGCCAUGAACGGUGACGAAACUAAGCCGCCGGCGAAGAUCCUCUGGAUGAAGCUCCCGGGUUGGGCAGAUGACGUCCCGGAAAACCAUGUGCUUCAUAUGACGGAGGACACCGCCAUUCGCUAUAAGAUUCCGCUCACGCGUAAGGAUUUGAUUUCUUUUCAUAUUUAUUUUUCCUGUAUUUACUUUUUUCCAAUUCGAUCCCCUUUGAAAUACAACUGUCUUGAUUUUCGGGGGUUCGAAAUUAGGAAUCGAAAUCAUUAUGGUUUGAGUUAAUUAGUUUCUGUAUUUCUGUAAUUUGAGCUGUGUUUUUGAUGUACCUGAUCGAAUUUUGUGUGUAUCGAUUACAUGUUUAGGAUAUCGUAAUUGAAAAAAGAAAUGAUUUGAAUCAAGCUCUGAUCGAGUUUUUUGUGUCUUGAUUACAUAAUUGACAGCUUACAAUCCUAACAAUAAGGAAAAGGGACGCAAAAUUGUACUCAUUAAGAAGAGUGAUAUUGAAAAGGUGGUGUGCACGGUUUGUGGGCAGGAGAAUGACCACUUCAGUUUUCAGUGCCCUAAUGAUGAUCCUGGUAUGUAUAUUAUUCUUCUUUUUGUUUGUUUUUUUUUUGUUAUAUGAACAAAUUAGGCAAGGUUUGCAGGAAUGUUCGAAUAGCUUUUACAAAUUGCUAAGCUUCAACUUGAACUAGUGAUUUUUUUUAAAUCUUUCUGUUUGCGGUAUAUGAGCGAGUGAAUCAAAAUGUAAAAGGGGUCAUUAGUUACUUGCAUGAUGACCGUAUUAGGGCACGAUUCUUGAAUGUCAACCUUAUCUAAUAUGUUUUGUUUAGCUUAUCCCAUUUUGUUAAGUGACGAGUACUUGACAGUUCUGCGAAUACACACACACACACAUAUAUGUAUAUCUGCAGUUUUCUUCUAGCUUGUCGACAUUCCUGAUGAUAAAUGGCUGGUGGCUUGGUUGUAUUUUGUGAAAUUUGUUUGCAUUUGGAGCCAUUUCUGAUGAUAUAUAUUGAUACAUUUGUGGUACAUUAUUCUUUAAUUCAUCUGAUCAGCACGUACUGAUUCUUUUGCAUUUUGAAACAGAUCGCGAACUUAUGGAACAAAGAGUUAUUAAUGGGGUUGAGAGGGUUAUCUACUGUCACUAUUGUAAGAAGAAGAAUGACCACUUCAGUUGGAGGUGCCCAGAUGAGGAACCCAUGCCAUUUGACCCAUUGGUUGCAGAGGAUUUGAUUUGUGAAUACUGUGGUGUUGAGGCUGAGCACUGGACUGAUGUUUGCCCCAAGCGGAAACACACACCACCCCCUGAACCAGAGCCUGGUUCCAGGGAAUGUUUGAUUUGUUGCAAGUAUGGUGACAGUGAGCACUGGACUGAGGACUGCCCCAUGUUGGCUAAUGGCGAUUGCAAAUUUUGUUUUACCUGUCAGUCGCUGGGUGACCACAAUACUGAUGAAUGCCACAAGUUUGAGGAGACAAAUAUCUUUUGCUCGUGCUGUGAGGCCACAGGUCAUUUGUGUGAAGAUUGCCCUAGGGAAUUCAAUGAUGGUCGCAAGUACUGUGGAGUUUGUGAUUGGAUGUGUGACCACUUGACUGAACAUUGCCCUUUGGCAGAAAGAAGAGCUACCACCAGUGGCAGCUUCACUAUGUCGAAAAUGUGAUGGCAACUUAGAUCUUGUGACCAGUUGUUUGGAGGAUUCCUGGGAGCCUGUGUUUGAACUUUUGUGGCCUUUAUUGGCUGUGACCAAUGGUGUUGGAUCAAUAACUCUUUCUGCUGGAUUAGGAAUUACUUUUAUAUGUUGUUGUUAGCUACUUAGCUGGAUAUAUGGAGUUUACUUUUUAGCAGCUAUGUUCUUGUUAAUAUUUGGUGUGUGAUGUGUAUGUCUGGAAUGCUGUAUAUUAGUGUCGCAGACAAUGACUAAGGGUACCCCAUGAUUUCCAUGAGCAUUAUUUACCAACCUUUUUACGUGUUACAUUAUUUUCUUUCGAUGUAUCAAAAUGUGUGAAAUGAGAAGAACGCAACCCAUCAUGUAGUUUAUAUGUAGAUUCGAUGGUGUCAUGUUAAUUCUCUAAUGAAACAUGAUUUUUCUUUUACAGACGAGUGAGAGAGAGAGUGUGAACAGAGGAGACAAAGAAUGGGGAAGAUUAUAAAAAGAUGUUUGAAAUUCGAAACUAAGUGAAGAGGUAAUAGAGCAGAAGCAGAUAUGAAGUAGAAGAGAGAUGCAGCGAUGCUGAUGCACAGGAGAUGACGUCUAUGUAAUCGGAAAUGCGAAAGUAGACGAUGUUGUUGUUCUUCAACAACAACAACAACAACAACAACAAAAAAAAUCUAAUUGAGUCGAGUCGAAAGAAUUGAAACAUCGUGCUUUUUCCAUGAUGGCGGCAGAAAACAUAUCAAGAGAUAAGGGAACUGAAACUGAAAAAUUGAGCUGAAAAUGAAAGAUAUUAGCUCGAGGGUAUAGCAAGAAACUUAAAUAGGAAGUGAAUACAUUGCAAUCGAUUUCAGACCCAAUGUAAAAGAGUUUUAGAGUUCUCACAUGAUCAAGAGCUGUUAGGCAAUUGGCACUGAUACCAACUCAUACCAUGAAGUAUGAACUUUUUCUUGAUGGAAGUGGAUAACUGAUCACAUAUAAACUGAAGUGUAUAGCAGACAAGAUUUUGUUUUGAUGCAUAUGCUCCAGAAUGCAUCUGGAGAGUAUCAGAAUUGCUUCUUGCUUCACACGUCUGUUCUGAUGCCUGCAGAUAUGGAAGAGUAUUGUGCUUAGUUUCCAUUCCCUUGCACUUAACAUCGAAAUGAUUUUUUCUGGUUCAAGAAGCCAGAGCUUUUGUUUUCCCCGUUCCAUUUUGGAAUUCCAAUUUUGCAAUUAAUGGUGUUAUUGUGAUGCCAGAUAUUUCUACAGGUGUACUGUGACUUAAUGUACUCAAAAUUAUGAUAUGCAUGCACGUUCUUCAUUUCUUGAUUCUUUUUAUGCUCACUUAGCAGAAAUGCGUUUGAAUUGGCUUCUUUUGGUUUUGAAGGACAGUCUUGUUGAACAAUCACCAAGAAUAGAUAUAGAGGUUGGUGUUAAAUACUUGGUUCGGUCUUAGAACUUACAAAUACCUCUAAGGGCCACAGUGGAACUUCCACUGAUUAAACUAGUAAGGCUACUGGAACUAUGGAGUUCAUAUAGCUUAAGAACAGCAGGAAAGGUAAAUAAAUUACCUUGCUUCGAGUAACCAGAACCUGGUACAACCAUAUAAAGCGCCCCAGAAGAUUCCGACCAGACCCCAUUUAGCCUAGAUCUUGUCCGAUCCGACAUUUUGGAUUAGGAACUGAUGCGGAAGAGGUGUGUGGAUUGCCGGCUACUUAUGGAGUUCCCCACGAGGUAAGAUAAACUGUCACUUGGAAAUCUUAGAUUUCCUUGGACCCUGAACAAGCGUUGUUCAUCUACUCCAAUUUACCUGCGGAACACCACUUGAAUUUUGGACAUCAGUGGCAUCACCAUAUGUGUAGUUCUGACCAGCAGUGUAGUAGAAACCGGUACGGCGAUGAACAGAGGAGUUAACUCCGGCAAAUGUUUGCGGGGUUGAGUAGUGAGGAGCAAUUGAAGCACAAUGAUCAGCACUUGAGCUGUUGAGCAGCCGAAUUAGAGAAACGAAACAGAGUUUCAUAGAACGUGUGACGAAAGCAAAGAAAAAAAUGAAAAUCUUCAUGAUUUAUACAGUAGUAAUCUUCGCCUUGUAGUUUUUAUUAAUUUAAGAUCUCAGUUGACUGAAUUAAAAAAAAAAAAAAAAAACCCAAAACUGACUGUAUAUAUUCAUCCCCUUACAUUUUCUAGGUAAGACUUCUUGGCAGUUUCAUUCAUCUAGCUAUAUGAUUAUGAUAUGCAUUGUGAUCAUUUUGGUUGAUCAUUAAGACUCAAUACUCACUUGUCAUCCAAUAUUGGAUUGUUAGAUUUAUCGCUUAUACUUAACCGUCAGCAUCAAAUUGUUAUUGGAUUGAAUGCAGCUAAUUCAGUUUAGCCUAGCUAUGAUUUAUGCGACUCCAUAAUAUGCUAUUUUGUACCGACUCUGGUAUAAGCUCCUAGCACUAAUGAAAAUUAAGAGUAGUUCACUUUGAGUUUAUAGAGCUCCACAAUUAGUUAUGCAUCUGGGGAAGUUCAUAUAUAUACCACAAUCGCAUAAGUUAUACAGUUCUGUCCCGCAAAAGUUGUCUCGCAUGUGAGCAGCUUUGGUAGACUAGGCAUGAUAGCAAAUUAUUGUUGUAUUCCUAGAAUUAUAAUCUUGUAAGAACGUAACGAUUUCACAACAAUCGUUGGAUCGUUAGCUAAAUGGUCUGACGGAUAAAAGAAUCAUAACAACUAAAACCUAUUACUUAAUUGUUCUAGGAUAUUCUGUAUAUUUCUAGAUAUUCUUUAUGUGUGUUUUGGCCUGAUAUAAAAGGCUCCUAUCAAUGAAUAAUACACACAUCUUUCACGAUUCUCUAUUCUCAAAUCUCUUUCACUUCAUCACGUUAGCUCUUGGCUCAACCCUUGAGCUAAUAGUUUUUCCCAAACCCUAAAAACCAAAAACCAAAGGUUCUCGGUCCUACCUCGGCCGCCGCCGUCGCUCCCCGACUGUCGUUUCCCGGCCGUCCGCUCCGAUGCUUUCUUUUCAUCCGAUCAAGCAUCCAAGUUUUUUCGGUAUGUUUACUUUACAACCCCUAAAACUCUUCCAAGUUCAAUAACCUCGGGGGAGAUAGUUGGGGGAGAUACAGUGUUUUCUCCCCUUCUUCUACUUCAUUCUAUGCUUGAGUCGGUGUACUUGCAAGUUUAAAAUCCUGGUUUUUCCUCCCCGGGUCCAAAGUUGUGUUUGAUCAACUUUGGUUAUUUCUUUUUGAAGGUGUGUUUGAUCACCUUCACACAAGUUUUCCGCGUCAUGUUUGAUCGACUCCAGACACUUAGGGUUGUGCAUGAUCAACCCUAGAGAGACAAACCAAAUAUAAAAGCAUCGUAUUUGAGUAUCCUUUUUGGGUCUUUAACAGAAAACUAAUACGACUUGUUCUCUCUUGUAUGCAGAAUGACAGAGGCAUCGAAUUCAACGCCUCGACACCCAUGGUACUGAGUACCAUCGCUGGGUCUCGGAUAUAGAGCAGACCUUUAUUGCUAAGGAUUUGACCGAGACCAUAUUCCCCGAUCCAACUUAGGAACCGCCUCACAAGAGAACAAAAUCUUAGGCGCUCAUGUUUUUUCGUAAGCAUAUCGAUCCCACACUACACAUGCAGUAUCAAUCGAAGCAUGAUCCAAAAGAUCUGUGGGAUGCACUCGUCGAACGCUUCGGCAAUAUUCAUUCGACCUUGCUCUUAGAAUUAAUUGCUCGUUGGGAUGAAAUCUGACUUUUCGAUUACAAGAAGGUUGAUGACUUCAACAGGGAUAUGCUUUGCCUACAAGCUUAACUGAGCUCAUGUGGAGUCGAGAAAAGUGAUGCCGACAUGAUUGAAAAGACUUUCUCGACCUUCCCUUCUGCUGCUAAGAUCCUAAUGAACUAGUAUCGACUUGAGUUCCAAAAUAAGAGGAUUACAACAUUUAGCGGCUUAAUGACACAACUCCUUAUGGAAGAAAAGAACAACAUGAUCAAUGAUCAGCAUAAUUUGUGUCUUGUAGGCACCCGGAAAAUUUUAGAAUUAAUCUAAUUACAACAGCAAACGGAGUAAGAAAGCUUCGAAACGCAAGGAUCAACAUCGGAAUGACCCUUACACACGUGGGAAGCAGUACCACCGUGCCUCUGGUUCUCGGGAACAAGGUAGUGGCUUUAGUGGCUGUACCAACACAUGGUGCCGAGACACCGGUGCCGCCGGCCCCAAGGGCGGCGCCGCUCCUCCUCGGAAGCAGCAUGUUCACUCUUCUUCUGCCUUUGAUGGUCAAUGCAACAGAUGUGGGCCCAAGGACCAUUGGUUUAAAAGCUGUCGCGCUUCUGCAAAUGUUGUUGCCGCAUACAAGAAAUACAAGGAAUUGAUGGAAGUCAAUUCCACUGAAAACAAUGGAGUUGAACAUAAUGUUACCUUCAAGGUCACAGACCCCAAUGGACAAUGUCUGACUUAGAUGCUCCUGACUUUGACGUCACCGGCUAGAUUGUUUUCCCUUUUUACAAGUCAUGAUGUAAUAAGGCAUCAUUAAAAUGCCAUGCUUAGUUUUUUUUUUUUUUUUUUGUAGACCCUUAUGUACUCUUUUCAGCGCAUUUUUUUUUUAUAACUUUUAUUAAUAACUCACAUACCCUACAUAUGUCGUGAGGUUUGAACCUAUGACUUCAAAGUUGUCAGUUAAACACCUUAACCAACCAAGACACAACUCUUUUCAGCGCAUUAAUAAAAGUUCUUUUUAUUUCUUCUUGUCCCUACAUGGUUCGAAUUGAUUUACAUCUACCUUAGAAAACAUGGCAUCAACGCCGUCUUUGGUCUCUCCCCUUAGAGGAGGUGACAUAUGGCGCCGUGACUCUCAAGGAGGGUUACUAACGUGUUUUCCGAUUCAAGUCUUUUACCAUAUAGCGGAUUUUCCUUCAUCAAUUGUUCAACUAGGCUCAUCCAAGUUAGUAUGAUGUCUUAGAAUUGUCCGAAAUUAAGGAGAUAGUGGUUUUAAGUGUGCCUCGCACCACCGACCCUCCAUGAACAUGUCUGGUCAUACUUAAUUUGGAGUUACCGAAAGCUUUUGAUUUUGGAUUCCUCUUAUGCUAUUACUCCAACUGCCGUCUUGUAAAAGACGUUAAAGACUUGGAAAAACCGGAUCACCAUCGAAAAUCCUCUAGGUUCUCUGGACUUGGAUUUGAUCAUCUACUUAAUUUGAAGUUUCCAAAUGCUUUUGAUUUUGGAUUCCUCUUAUGCUAUUACUCCAAUUGCCAUCUUGUAAAAGACGUUAAAGACUUGGCAAAACCGGAUCACCAUCAAAAAUCCUCUAGGUUCUCUGGACUUGGAUUUGAUCAUCUACACGUCCCUGUGGCUGAGCAUACGCCUCCAUGCCACCAGCAAGCUUCAAAAGCUUCCCUAAUGACAAAUCUGCGAAAAACAGUAAUCUGUCCUCCCUAGACAGUCGACUUCUUUUGAGCUUUUUGAACAGCUCCGGACGAACCAGAUAGUGAACUUUAUAUCAUUGGAAAGGUCUACAAGUCUAGUUUUCAGAAAAUUUUACGGUUCAUCUAUAUCUAUUUUAACGAAGGAGUUAUGACUGUUGCAGUACGCAAAGGUCAUUCUGCGCGAGAAAUUUUCAGCACUCUCGAGAUUGUUGCUACUUUUAGCUUUUUCAAUCCUUCUAAAUGGUUCGAUAUCGACCUAUUUACUCAUAUAUCUACUCUCUUUUAUAGGUAUGUCUCUUGGAGAGAUCAAGUAUCUCACGGAUAGUGGAUCAACCCACACCAUUUUAAGGAACCGACAACUAUUCCUUGAGUUAGUGUCAUGUAAAUCAUCUGUGACGAAAAUGAUUGGAUCUUCUCCUGUGAUCCUCGGGCGUGGAACUGCUCGCUUCUUUCUGCCUCAUGGAACUAUGAUCCAUGUCACAGACGCUCUUUAUGCCCCAAAAGAGCACCGAACAUUGUUGAGCUUUAAGGACAUUUGCGCUAAUGGCUUUCACUUGGAAACUCAUUGUGAAGAUGGAACUGAGUUCUUGUGUAUCACUUCUCAUGAUUACGGACGUAAACGUAUAUUGGUGAAACUCAUGAGUCAAUCUAGUGGUCUUUAUCUUACUACGAUUCGGAUUAUGAUUAUUGAAUCUCAUGUAGUCGCCAAACAGGAUCUUUGGGACUCUGACUCAUACAAGCUUUGGCAUGAUCGACUUGGUCAUUCCAGAAGGGACAUGAUGAUCUGAAUUCUAUGUAACUCUCAUGGACAUCUCUUAUUCAGAUCAAAACGAAAAUAUUUGGGAACUGAUGUCACUUUGAAUCAUGGUGGUGACGCCACAACAGGUCAUCACAGCCUAAAGGGGACUUUGACGUCUCCCGGGCUCGUCACCAACUUCCUGGCUGCCGCUCGGCCGAUCCCUCAAGCAAUUGAGGUGCGCCGUUCUUCCCUUGAUGUGUCGUUGACUCUUUCAAACGCUCAUCAUUCGUUUUGCAAAGCUUUCUCUUUAGCAAAAGUAGUAUCGAGACCGUCCUACGCUAAAGAUAACACCGAGAACAUUUCAUUUCUACAUCGUAUCCAAGGUGAUAUUUGUGGACCCAUCCAUCCUGAAUGUGGACCAUUUCGAUAUUUUAUGGUCCUGGUGGAUGCUUCAACGCAUUGGACUCAUGUUGCGCUCUUGUCCACACGUAAUGCUGCAUUUCCAAAACUCUUAGCACAAAUUAUUAAACUUCGGGCUCACCACCCGAAUUAUCCAAUUAAGUCAAUUCUACUGGAUAACACUAAAAAAUUUACAUCAAAGACUUUUGAUGACUAUUGCAUAUCUAUCGGGAUUGAAGUUGAACAUCCCAUACCUCAUGUUCACACGUAAAACGGUCUCGCCGAAGCUACGAUCAAGCGGCUUCAGCUUAUUGCUCGAGCAUUAGUAAUGCACACCAACCUCCCAAUUGCGUCAUGGGGCUAUGUAAUAUUGCAUGCAGCCUUACUUAUUCAUUUCAGACUCACUGUCAAACAACCAUUCAGUGCGUACCAGUUGAUUACUGGAUAUGAGCCUGACAUUUCGUAUCUACGCAUUUUCGGUUGCUCAGUUUAUGUGCCAAUUACGCCUCCACUGCGUUCUAAGAUGGGUCCUCAGAGACGAUUGGGUAUCUACGUUCGCUAUGAAUCUCCAACGAUUAUCAGAUACCUCGAGCCAUUAACAGGUGAUCUCUUUACCGCAAGAUUUGCGGAUUGUCACUUUGAUGAGACAUUAUUCCCAUCGUUAGGGGGAGAUAUGAACAAACGUGUUAAUGUGGAACGACAGGAAUUGUCGUGGUUUGUCCUCACUUUGUCUCAUUAUGAUCCUCGCACCUCACAGACUGAAAGUGAAGUGAAACGUAUUCUCGAACUUCAGAUUGUAACAGAUACGAUGCCUGACUCUUUCUCCGAGAUUGCGAAAGUGACAUGAUCAGAUAUACCAGCUGCAAAUGUUCCUGCUAUGCUCGAAGUCCCUAAAAAGGGCAUGGCCAUCCCCGGGCACGGGAUUGCUGCUGCCGGCGGUUCCACCCACGGUGGGGGGAUGGAGGUCGUGGCUCCCCAAAGGAAAAGGGGGAGGCCAUUUGGUUCGGUUGACACAUGUCCGAGAAAGAAACAGACCGACAAGGCACAAGUCAAUCAUUUGAUCAUCGAUGUUGAGAAUCUUUCUCACAAGAUCAUCUCUAAUUACAGUUAUGUCCACGAAUUGAUGUUAGAAUCCACGGGGGACGCCUCAAGGUCAAUGUCAACAUCAGAGAACAUAGAGAUCUCCAUGUGUUAUGAUAACACUUAUGAAUUGAUGAACCGGUCAUCAACCCAUGUCGAUGAUACAUUUGCUUAUUCCGUGGCUCAUGAAAUCAUUGAGCACGAUGACAUUGAACCACGCUCUGUUGCAGAAUGCCAAAACAUAGCAGAUUGGCCUAAAUGGAAAGAUGCAAUCCAGGCAGAAUUAGACUCUCUAACAAAGAGACAGGUCUUCGGCCCAGUAUUGCUAACUCCGCCGAGUGUAAAGCUUGUUGGACAUAAAUGGGUCUUUGUUAGAAAGCGUAAUGAGAAGAAUAAGGUACUUCGGUAUAAGGCCCGCCUUGUGGCGUAAGGUUUCUUACAACGCCCUGAGAUUGAUUACGAAGAGACUUACUUUCCGGUCAUGGACGUCAUAACUUUCCGCUACUUGUCAGUUUGGUAGUGUCUGAAAAACUUGACAUGCAGCUCAUGGAUGUGGUUACGGCAUAUCUCUAUAGGGAUCUAGAUUCAGAGAUAUAUAUGAAAGUGCCCUAUGACAUUACGUUACCUAAAUCAAGUGACUCUAAACCACGGAGUGCAUAUGUUAUAAGAUUGAAACGCUCACUUUACGGAUUAAAGCAAUCCGGGCGAAUGUGGUAUACUUGUCUAAGUGACUACUUGAUUAGGGAGGGAUAUAAGAACGAUGAACUAUGCUCGUGUGUGUUCAUAAAGAAGACAAGUUUCGGAUUUGCAAUAAUGGCCGUCUAUGUCGAUGACAUGAACAUUAUCGGUACUCUUGAUGAAAUUAAAGAGACCACGGCUUAUCUAAAAUCCGAGUUUAAGAUGAAAGAUCUUGGGAAGACUCGUUUUUGUCUAGGUCUUGAACUAGAGCACCGAGUCUGUGUAAUUCUUAUUCAUCAGUCUGCAUAUGUCCAAAAGAUGCUCAGGCAAUUUAAUAUGGACAUGAUGCACCUUGUUAGCACUCCCAUGAUUGGUCGAAGUCUAGAUAUAACUAAAGAUCCAUUCCGUCCGAAAGGGGACGACGCAAAAAGGUCUUGGGCACAGAGGUUCCAUACCUUAAUGCAAUAGGCGCAUUAUUAUACUUAGCUCAAUGCACUCGACCAAACAUUGCAUUCUCAGUCAACUUGUUAGCUAGAUUUAGCUCAGCGCCAACCCAAUGUCAUUGGACCGGAGUCAAGAACAUCUUUCGAUAUUUUAAAGAUACCAUUGACUUGGAACUGUUCUUUCCCUACACUGAUUCAAGAAGGACAGAAGAUGGUCCUAUGGCUCAUGGAAGACACAACACCGAUCCACCAAGGGACUGGACUGCCGCCAUGGAUGCCGCCGGUACGGCUGCUGGACACGGGUCCAAUGCCGAGCACGCCACCACCGCCUUGUUCUAUGCCGAGACACCCAACAAUACGUUGGUGGGUUUCGCCGACUCUGGAUAUUUAACUGAUCCUCAUAAAGGACAUUCUCAAACUGAUUAUAUGUUCACCAUUGGGAAUACGACAAUAUCUUGGAGGUCUACUAAGCAGACUCUAGUGGCGACAUCUUCAAAUCAUGCAAAGAUUAUAGCUUUGCAUGAAGCUAUUCGGGAAUGUGUUUGGUUGAGAUCAAUCAUUAAACACAUUAGAGGGACUAGUAGAUUAAAUUCUACAACUGAUACUACAUGCAUUUAUGAGGACAAUGCAACUUGUAUUGAGCAAAUAAAGUUAGGUUACAUCAAGGGUGAUAAUACAAAGCACAUUUCACCUAAGUUCUUCUACAAUCAACAGCAACAGGCGUUUCUUAACAUUCAAGUGAACCAAGUUAGUUCUGAAGGAAACGCAGCAGACUUAUUUACUAAGUCCUUACCUAAGUCUACUUUUGAGAAACAUGUGAAAAGUAUAGGCAUGCGUCGGCUAUCAAGUCUCUCUGAAUAAUGUUCACAUCAAGGGGACCAUCAUCUUAAUGAAAUAGAUCGGUGCGUUGUACUCUUUUUCUCCUACGAUCAAGAUUCAGUUUUUCUCCCACAUGGUUUUUGUGACGUGACGAGGUUUUUGACGAGGCAACAAAUCAGCAUCAUCGACAUAUCAGCGCGCGGCACAAGGGGGAGUGUUCUAGGACAUUAUGUAUCUUUCUAGAUAUUUUUUAUGUGUGCCUUGACCUUAUGCCAAUAGGAUAUGUAGUUUGACUAGAUCUAUGUAUUCAUUAUCCUUACAUAAUUGGUAUUGUGUAAUUCUUUAUAUAAAGGGCUCCUAUUAACGAAUAAUACACACAUCUUUCACGAUUCUCUAUUCUCUAAUCUCUUUCACUUCAUCAUUAAUCUCUUUCUCAUUGGCCAAAGAGCCUUCAUUCAAUCACCUCCUCGAUUGAAACUUAUUCUCUUCUUCCUCCCUUAUCUCAAUCCAUCAUAUGUCAUAUACAAUCGAUAAUCGUUUGCAAGUUCAGAAUUAAUAAUGGAAUUCAAAUCAAUAGAGGAAUCAAGAAGGCCAUGAUUGAUCGAGGUCCGAGAGAUAGAUCUUUGAGUGAAGUCAGAAAUAAAAGAACUAGGGAAUUAGAUCGGAGGCCAAGAUGGGGUUGGUGUAUUGGUAUUGUAUUGGUUCAUAGUUAAAGAAUUAGAUCUCUGAAGCAUUUGACUCUUGGAGUUCGUCAAUUUCUACUUAGCAAUCAACCCAGUAUGAUUGUUGUUGCAUCAAAAUCUUCUCCAAAGUUGACUUGUAUGUUUUGAAGCUAGAGAAAGGAGAGUGUUUCUGCGUAAUCUCGGAGACUACGUAGAAGCACGGUGGAACACGAACAUAAACAGUAAACAUCAUGGGCAAGAGACAAGCACGUAUAGUGGUUCACCAUGCCGGCGGAGGGCAUGGCUACGUCCACUUGGAAUUCACUAUCGGGAGGCCUCAAUGCCUUUUUGUGGGAGAAGAAGAUCGAUCGAUUCUACUUAGGGGGAACCCUUCCUUUAUAGAUUAGGAAGGUUCCCACUUACAACACACUUUCGAUGUGGGACACAUUACACAUAUUUCUUAUCACGAUGCCUCCUUGCCGUGCUUGGACGGAGGACCUCCUCAUGUGGUAUUGACGAUCCGACUCCAUGAUGAUGUAGUUUGCAUGUCGGACAACAAGUUUCAUGACUGGUCUAUGGGCGGGGAAGGUAGUUUAUCAACUACCGACUACAGAGAGAGAUGACAAACUGUAGAUGGCAUAUGAUGGAUUGAGAAUUUGAGAUGAUGAGGGAUUGAGAGGAGGGAGGAAGCAGUCAAGAGUUUCAACAUUUCAGGGGCUCUUUGGCCAAUGAGAAAGAGAUUGAGUAAUGAGUUUUAGUUGUUAUGAUUUUUAAUCCGUCAGAUCAUUUAGCUAACGAUCUAGUGGUUGUCAUGAAAUCGUCUCGUUCUAUCUCGCAAAAGUUGUCCCGCAUGUGAGCAGUCUCUCCUAGUCGACAUUCUAGUCUAGAUCUAUACUAUCUCUUGUUUCUAAGCAGCAACAUAUGAAAGUUAUUUCAAAGGGUCCGGUUCAAGGGACAUUAAAUUUGACACUAAUUUUUAACCAUUAGAUUUUAAAAUACUAAAUGGUCUAGAUCAAUCAUAAAUAUGAUGUCAACAUAUAACUAAUUGAUGUGGCAAAUGACAUGGCAUUACCUAAUUUAAUAACAAAUCAUAUUAAAAAAAGAAGAAGGAAAAAUCACAUCUUAAAUUCUAGAAAACAAAAUCCAAUUUGAUUGAUAAAAAAGGAGAAAAAAAUCGCCCAGAACCCCAAAGACGAAGAAGAACACAGAACCAAAAAAAAAACAGAGGAGCUAAAGAACCAAUUUGUAAUCCAACACAGAUCGUAUAUUAAUCUAGGCAAUGAUUCACAAGGUUUGUCUACUAGCUUCUCAUGUUAGAGUAAUAUUGGUGUUCAUGUCAAUGAUGCAAACAAUGAUGCAAACGUUGCCUCUCAUGUUCACUCAAUUACACUUUAAUCAACAACCGCAAUUGAAAGCACUGCUUUUCCGAAGGGAAAUUUACCUAGACAAUUGAAAGUGAGGUUGGAUUUAUUUUUGUGCGUUGAUCGAAAGGCUUCAUUUUCAUGCCUAGAUCCUUUGGGUUUGUUCUUCUACGUCUUUGGAGUUAUGUUGAUUUUUAUACUCCUUUUUAUUGAGCAAAUUGGAUUUGUUUUCCAGAUUUUAAGGUGUGAUUUUUCCUUCUUCUUUUUUAAUUUGAUUUGUUAUUAAAUUAUGUAAUGCCACGUCAUUUGCCACAUCAAUUAGUUAUAUGUUGACAUCAUAUUUAGGAUUGAUCUAGACCAUUCAUUAUUUUUAAAUCUAAUGGUUAAAAAUUAGUGUCAAAAUUUGUGUCAAAUUUAAUGUCCCUUGAACUAGACCCUAUUUCAAAAGUUUGUUCUUGAACCCAAAUUCACCUAUGACCACUUUUUGGGGUGUUUGCACUACCAACACACCAACAUAUCUCAUGGUAUGCAACGAUGCAAUGAGUUUAUGAAAAAAAAAAUUUCGUCCAACUCUAAGAUUUAUGGUCACACUGAAGAUUAGAGUACAUCGGACAUGCAAGCUAAAGCAUAACUCAAGACAAAAGUCGAUCAUCAAAAAGACAAAAACACAGUUCGGUCACUUUUACGGGUAACUAAAUUUAAUUACAAGCUAUAAUCAAGAAAGUUGUAUAUCAAAGGAGGAAUUGAACAAUAAUAAGUCAAAUCCUUACGCUUGAGCUCAAGCUUAUGCGGAUGGCGAUAUGAAACACAUGGUUUUCCUUUUCUAGGACGUCAUCGGGCAUCGGCCCAACCCGGGAGCUUCAUCCAGAGAAUCUUCUCCGGCGGCUCAGGUUCAUCACCGUUCAUGGCUGUGAGGGAGAGCCAAGUUAGGGUCUGCCGCUGUGACCAAGGUAAACGGGGCAUCAACUGUUCUAUUUCGUAUUUAUUGAACAUGGAUUUAGGUCUCAUUCUCAUCCUCAAUGGGAAAGUGAAAGAUGAAAACAUAUACUUCGAUUCUGUCUUUGUGAUCAUGAGUGUUCUCAGCGAUCAUAUACCAAAACAAACUUGCUUGUCUCAACAGAAGCACAAGAGGCGAUCAAACAUAGUAGUGUCUACUUGAAGCAACGACAUACAUAGUGGCUUGUUACAAUCAUAGUGGCAUGUAUAAGACGAACCCCAUUUGAUUUUGCUUUAUAAACUCAUCACAUCAAUAAUAUACCUCAAUCUCCCGCAAACCAGCUGCUAGCUUGGUCAUUCUUCCUUAACUUGUUUUAAAUCACAGUACUCUAAUACCAUGUAACUAAACCAACUCACAACAACGAUCAGUAGUAUCACUAGCAUGUGUUCUGACAAUUAGUAAACUCCUACAUCACAUAUUUCUAUUCAUUUUUCAGCAAUAUCAUGUAACACGUUACCGUUCAGUAGGUAUUUUAUGGCCUUUAACCCUCAUCAGUAUUUUUUGAAUUGCAUACAGCAGGGAGUCAACUCUACACAUUUCUCUUUUUAAGGAUUCUUCAUCAUCGAUUUCACCACAUUGCUACUUCAUUGACGCAGAUCUUGGAACAGUUUCUGGUUGAAUAUUCAAUGAAACUGAUGAGGAAACAGACGCUGAUGGCCGAAGAAGGGGUGUGCCUACCCUACUCGAUGUUUCGUUAGCAACUGGGAAUGGACUGGUCAUCACACUAGAAACAGGUUGCAACUCAACUCCAUCAAGCGCGUUGGCAUCAGUGGCUGGGCCAUCCAGAAAUUCACGAUCAUCUUCCUCAACCGACACUACUGUGCUUGUGUCUGUACAUGUGUGUAUGGUUGAAUCAUCAUUGUAUAUCCCCAGCCUUCUUUUCCUCCUAGCUGCUUUUUUCCACCCAUGUAUGGUUUCUCUUAUCCUUUGUGGGAUUAAUGCAGCUUUAUAAUUUGUUCCCAUCUGAAAAUUCAAUGCAAAAUACAACCAUAUAAAUUACAUUUUCAACCAUAUAGAUCAUCAGGCAGAAAACAAACAAUAGUAUUCACUUGAUGACAGGUUUUACAGCAAACAAAUUUAAAAGCAAUAUCAUCGAUACAAAACAGACCUACAUAAUAUAUAGAUGAUGUUGAAAACUUAGUCUAAGAGAAAUAGCAAAUGACAACCAGAUAUAGACUUUCUGUUUCAGUAAAAACGACCAGAAGCUAGUUUGGUAUCAUUUUGAUCGACAUUUUCGACUAAAAUAAAAACUGAAUGACUGAUCAAGAAAAACUGAGUGAAAUAAGAACUCCCAUCAUUUAUUCAAAGAGAAAAAAGAAAAAGAAAGAAACUCCCAACAUACAGAACCCCCAUCAAAAUGGACGUAACUUGCAGCAGACUUCAUAAGGUUAAUCCCCAAAAUACAGUUGCUUAAAUCACUGGCCCAAUAUAGUCUCAUUUAAAUAUAAAAUCAAUUAUAUAUAUAUGUAUGUAUAUAUAGAUAUGUUUGUACCUGAGUAACCAAAGCAUAUAGUGGCAAGGUGCUGUAGCUGCAUAGGAAUUGCCCAGCAAACCUGGAAGGCAGUUUACAAUAAUGUAAGAUGCAUGAUUGACAAUACACUCUACAAAAAUGUAAAUUAUAGUCAUAUUGUUUGCAUACCCUAAAAUCAGCCUUAAAUAUACAAGUGUAUGAUUCCGGAUGAAGCAGGAACUAUACCCAAAUUGCCACUGUAAUCAAAGUAAACAGGAAUAUUUAGUUGAUCCUUAAUGAUCCUAUACACGUUCAAUAAGAAUAUUUGGAGCUAAAUGGGUUCCUUUUUGCCGUCUGAAUUGUUUGUGGUAUAUGAUCUCAAUUGAUUGGAACUGGAAUAACAGAUUUAAGAUACUCCAAAAUAAAUUCCAUAGAUAAGGAAGUACCCAAAACCAAAAGAAUGAAGCCAAUUCAAACGCAUUCUGCAAAGCGAGCAUAAGAAGAAUUAAAAGAUGAAGAACAUGUGUGAGUAUAUCUCAUUAGAGGACAUAAAUUCACAGUACACCAAUAGAAAUGCCUGGCAUCACAAUAACACCAUCACAAACCUGGAAUAAACAAAAAUGGAUCAAGGACAACAGAAGUUCUGGCUUCUUGAACCAGAAAAGAUCAUCUCGAGGCCUCAGUUUUGCUCCUGGAUAGGAUCCGGUUAUACCAGCAUUCUCCAGAGCAAGGGUUGCAAUAACAUGCUGCAACUUCAUUCCCACAAGAAGGACUAGCUGCGCACAAACAUACAAUCAACAUUAGAAACUCAUGAUCAUUUAAGAAACUAGAGACAGAAUUUUGCUUAUACAAAAUAUCACUGUUCUUGCCCUCUGCAUAUUAUAUCUAAAUAUAUGCUUUAACUAAAGUGGAGGUCCCAAGUUCAAAUCCCCUCCCCUCAAAUUCUUAAGCAAUAAAAAAAGAAUUAAAGUUUCUGUUUCCCGAUCCACAUUUUGAUAUUGUGAAUCAUUCAAUUUUAGUAAAGGUGGAAAAUUAAUAUAUAGUAAAAAUGAGAAAGUUAAAUCUGAACUUACAGUAAUUGGAAUGAUUGCAAUCCAGAAAUAAAGAUUAGACCCUGCCAUGGUUUACAGACAAAGAAUUACAGUUUAGAGUUUACAAGACUAAUAAAAAGUUGAAGACAUCAUCCGCCACACUAGCACAUGCACUAAAUGAAUGUACAAUGAUACAUGAGACCCAUAUCUAUUACAACGGCGAUGAACAUGUCCGGCAGCUAGAUCCAUUUGAGAUCAAAUGCUGAAACAGAUAAAUCAUUUCUAGCACACUGUAAUUGUAAAAUAGAUAAAAUCAUUUCCAGCACAUUCAAACUGUAACUGUUAACGACUGCAGCAUAAAUCAUCUGCUAACCUUGUACAUUGAACAGCAUGAAAGCAACAACAAAUCCCCAGAGUGGAGCACUGCAGAAGAUUUUUAAAAGAGACAUUUUAGUAAAAUUUAUUAUGGAAUUCAACAGAAAAACCACAAAUAACAACCGAUAACAGGCAUUAGUAAGUAGGAGAACUUGAAUUUAAUCCGAGCUAAACUUGGACACUUCUUGUCAUUAUUGUAGUAAAUAACAAUCAUAUUUUUUUUCUUCUAUUGUGCGCUUAACAGGCAUAUAUAGCCAUCUAAAGUUCCAAACACAGGGAUGAUUCUCAACACAAUGCAACCACAUAAUAAGAGUGACGACGGAUGUCUAGGAAUUAUCAAGACCUGACAUGGAAAAUGAUGAUUUUUUUCAAUUAGUACCGCAACACUGAAAAAAAUGUUUCAAUCUUGAGAAGGCUUUGUCUUUCUCACCUCAACUUCAUCAACAAGUAUGGUCUUUUUUAUUGAAAAUAAAAAAGAAUUUAAGAAGAAAGGGUAGCACAUAUUGCAGGUGCUCGUAAGGGAUUUAUUCAAUACUUUCUGCCUUUAAUGAGAAAGCAAGAUGCCAAGAUGGGACUUGAAUUAUAAUAUUACAAUUUACUUCAAAAGUUUUGGGCUUGUAGAUAAACUGGCUGUAAAAACAAAACAAAAACUGAAGUUUCAUCUCCCAUUUCAGUAACCACUAAUUUUGAAAGCAUUCAUGGCUGACAAAUUCAGUUUUCUUGAAUGCAUAAAUAACUCCUCAAUUGCCAAGUAUUAAAAGUCACACACUCCACCAUAGAUUAAAAGAAACAGAUUUUGUCAUGGAAGUGGAAACUAAUACACUAUUCUUUUCUCUUUCUUUUUUCAAUUCACAAUAGAAGAAGUUAAAUGCUUACCUCACACCAACUAUUCUUUGGAAUUCCUCUUCCAUAGAUCGAAUCAUAUAGCUGUGAAAAUCAUACUUUGGUGUAAGGUUGUGAUUCUGCCAUGAAUAAGAGCCGCAUGAGUAAACAUCCAUUGAACAUGUAGGUGAAAGUGGCAAUCCUCACAUAUCAGGAGCAAGAUACUUAAACUGUAAUACCGCCUAAGCAUACAUAAUGUGGCAUUCCUCACAUAUUAUGAGCAAGAUACUUAGAUUCUAAUACCGCCUAAGCAUACAUAAUACACGUGGAAGCAGAAAGCAAGACCAAUUAUAGUGUGUUGCAUAUACUAAUAAUCUUUUGGACAAUCUUUUCGAUGCAAAUCAUAACUCUAAUUUAUAGGUUACUGAUUUUCUCACUCCUGUUUCUUCCACAGCAUUCCCAUCUGUUUCUUUCUUUUCUUAAAAGGAUGUUUAUAUGUUUUAAGCUAUUGUAGAUUAUGAAAGUAAAAGGUUAGAGCCAAAGUACUGAAAACCAAAUCAUAAAAGGAUACUGAGAUCAUCUAAAAAUGGAGGACCACAAGUGGAAAAAAGGGGAGUGUGAAACUUGCUUCCCCAAUUAUAAAGAAGCAUACAAAAGUAACAGCAGCCAGAGAUUGCAAGAAAACUAUUAUUCUGCGUUAAAAUUGAAAUUCAAAACAGUUCUAGAUUACCAGAAAAGCUACGGAGUGGUAGUAUAGAUGGUAUGUGGCAUAAAAGUAAAUCUGAAGUUCAAGUUUAUGCUGAAGAAAGAAUAGAGAAUAAAUCAUAUGCAACGACCCAUUCUACUUGUUUCGAUGAAUUGCAUACCAUGAUGAAGCCCUUGCGGAGUGUUAAGUAGUCAGCCCGAACGACUGAACGCCCAAAUUGUCUGAAGAAGCAUAUCUGAAAGACAAAACAUCCAACUUAAGCCUUGAAUGAAUAAAGCUGCUUUAGAAUAUCAAGAUACAUAAAGAAAGUUGAGUAAUUACUAGCGUAGCCUAUGAAGGACCUAAAAAAGGCUCCACAGACAAAUGAAACCAUAUUUUAAAAAAUGCAUGCCCUUCAAGCUUGUGCCUUCUGUUUAAAUUUUCAGUGUCCUAACAUAUUUCUUCUAUAUGGUCCACAGAGCAUCAUCAAUAAAAUAAAUUGAGAAAGACCACUAUUUUAUUUUAAAACUUUGUAUUCUAGGAAGGGGAACAAGACAACAGACAGAAAUUUCUGGGACGUAAUUACUUUUGUGUAAGGCUCAUCAAAUAUAACAAGUUUUGUAUAAAAAUGUAAAUUAGCUUGAAGAAGAAUGGAUGUACUGGUGUAAUUCAAAUAAGAAAAGGGAGUUUUACUUACCACCCAGAUUAAAAAACUAUUCCUGGCCAGUGGAUUUGUUGUAUUUACAAAGGUAGACUGCCUUCGCAUUGUCAUCUGCCGAGUGAUUUCUGUUACAGAGUAUAUCUAUAGUCACCUCAGAGUAAUUUAAAACAUACAGAUAAGAAUACAUGAUAUAUAAAUCUACUUGUCAUAAGCAAAACUUAAGUGUAAGAAGUUCCUUGGCAGGAUGUAGACACAUUUAUCACGCGAUAUACAUUUCAAAGUAUAUACAAAGAGGGCUUUCAGAUACAAGGCUAAAUUAAAAGAAGGUAUGGUCAUAUUUUGAAAAUCAACCUCUUGCAAGUGAAUUUGAGGAUCAGAAUCAAAGUUUUGACAGCAAGAAUAAUUAUAAACUAAGAAAGGGCGUAUGAAUUCUAAGAAGGAUGACGAUUUUGGCUGCAUGUGAGCCAAAGUGGUAAAUGAGUACCUUAAACCUCAGUUGUUGGGGCUCAUGAACGAGCUCAUAUCAGUUUGGUAACAUGUGAUUUAUUUAUACCUAGUACAUAGAUUCCCAGAACACUCAAACAGUGAUCCUUUGUUUCAUCCAUAUAAGGCCCUUCGACAGAAGGUUUUAUUAAGGUUUUGUCUUGUUAAAUUCCAUAUACAAAUCCUGCACAAAGGGAAUGAUGCCAGAUCGAGAACAUAAUGCCAUUUCAGAGCUUUACCAGUCAAUGAAUCAUGCCUGUCCAUGUGAGCCUCAUCCUCCCAUGCUCUCCAACCGUGAAUCUGUUCAUAAAAUAUAGUUAUAUGCUAUGUCAAACUUUGAGACAAAGUGGAAGCAAUAUUGAAUAUUCUACUCUCAUAUUUUAGAAUAUAACCAAUAUCUUAACAACAUAAGUAGGGGUACAGUACAGCAAAGUACAGUACAGGGGGGUAAUAGCAUAUCCACACGCAUACAAACACACCCACCUGCCUAAAUCACACCAAAAUUCUAAAUACUAGGUCGAAAUGCAGCACUGUAUUCACAUUUAAGGUUGAGGCAAGCAAUGCUAGUUGUGUAAAGACACAAGCACAUAGAACAAUGGGAAAGAGAUAGACCUAUCCUUCACUGUAUUUUCUUGGUGAAAUUAGUCAUAACAUCUCAACUCUGGAACUAAUACAGCAAGACCAAUAAAUGAAAGAGAUAGACCUAUCCUUCACUGUAUUUCUGAUUUGAAUGAAUGAUGUUCCCCUUUUCUGCUUUUAUCGCCAGCCCUUUAUUUCAGAGUUAUCAUAGUGAAAUGAGAAAUGUUCUCACUUCUCACUUGGAGACACUAGUAAACUUUUACUUUGUGAACUUAAUUUCAUAAACUGGGCACCAAAAGACAUCCAAAAUUAGGCUAUUGGUAAGUAGACCAUAUUGGCAGUAUCCAGAAAGAAUUUGGUUAUUGAGCACAAUAAGAUCUGGAUCUUCAGGCCACUACUUCCUUGUACAAUCAGCCAGAUGAGAAUAAAAUAAAACCUAGAUAUCUUAAUUGGAAGUAAAUGAAGAGACUGCAAAACUCAAACCUUCACUAUUGCAAGCAACAUUGUUAAGCAGCUGUAGGAUACGUGUGUUAUUGCCAUGACAAAGAUGAAGCGGUGCAACUGCUCAAGACCUUGAUAUGAAACGAAUGGCUCAUAACCCUGUUUCAAAGUGACCGAAUUUGAGCCCAUACUAUUCCAUAAGGCACCACUUGCUUCAUGGGAAGUACGAGGGAAAGAGAAGAAAUAAAAAAUAAUUUCCUUUGGCAUUUAAACCAAUAGUUCUACUUUAUUUCAGUUUAUUAUUGGAGUCUAUAUAAAAAAUGAAAGAAGAUAUAUGCAGAAGAGAAGACAAAAGCUACAGAAUUUUAUAUUCAAGACAUAUAUAAGUCAUGGUACCUCUUUGCAGGUAUUCGCAUUCAAGCUAUUUAACAUUCUCCUAAAGGUAUGAGGCAGAACAGUAAACAUCAGCAGUUUGCGUUCCUUGGAUGUAUUGGUUUCAUGUUCUUCGUCAAUCUCUUUUCUUGUACAUGGAGAGAACUUGCUGUCAUAGAACUUUGACGGAAUGCAAAUAUUGGCUAUCGUGCUUGAGGUAGCCGUCAAAAGAAGAGAGAUAAAUCCAAGCAGCAUCAAUUCUGGAGGCAGCAGGCCAAGAAAUUGAAGCCAAGAAAUGAGAUAUAUAGUAUGAAAUUAUGUUCUUGAAGUCACUUUUAUAACAAGGUUGUGAGAAUAGAGGCCAAAUACCUUCCUUCAUUUUCUCCACAGCUUCUAGCAAGGGCUUACGAUUAGUUUUCCGCAACCACUGAAAAAACAAAAGAACAAAAAUAACCACACAACAUAAUGCUGCUGAAUACUGAAUAUUAGACAAUGGCCCAAUGUUUUAAGUUGUUAAUUCUUAUCUGAUGCUUAAGUUUAUGACACACCUAGUCUCCCCAAACCGCCUAACAAUCCCAUAAAAGGUAAGAAGAUUCUACUGAUGUGGAGAAGCUAAAUAAGAUUGCUAUGAGUAUCACUUACAUGGCUUAACCGAUGAAUGCCGCGCUCCACAAGCAGAGAAACAGCCACGAAAAUUGUCAACACAGUAGCAACAGACCAUGUUGGUGUCAAGGCCAAAGAUCGCAUUUCUUGUGUAUCUUCGGCCAUCCUGAACUACUCUGAUACUACAAACCUUUAUCUCAAAUGCACGCCAAAGUAUCUUUGUCUAAAGCCAGUAAAAGACUCCAAGAAAAGGGAACAGUCAAAGCUCUAUCCCCUCAAUUGUUUAACAGAGAACCAGGAUACUACAGCACACCAAAUCCACACCAACCAAAUUCUACAUAAUAUGCACAGAAAAUCCUAAACUUCUAAUAUCAACCACAUCAAGGAUACUCACAAUAAGAUGGGUACUCUGCAUUUCCAAUAUUUGAACUGAAAUUUACUGACAGCAAAUCACAACUGUGAAUUAUAAACAAAAACUCCAAAAAGGGUUUGUCAAGAACCUCAAAAUUUCCAAAAUAGAAACCAAAUACAAUACCCUCUCUGCUUCAAUGAUCUUCCCUGGAGCCCCAGCCUGAGAAGAGUUGAAAUGGGUUCUUCUCAAAGCCACCAGAAUCUCUCUUCACUCUUCUACUUGCAAUCUCAAUUUCCACCCGCAAAAGAAAACCCAGAAAAUAACCUUCCAGACCGAAAGUAGAGCCUUUCCCUCAGACCCUUUUGGCCCAUACCAUUGUUGCACAGCUUUCAAGAUCAGAGCCUCAUGAAAAACCAAACCUUUCACCACAUUUAGCCUGGAUCCCCUUCAAAACUGAAACAGGGGAGACAGAGAUAGAGCCACUGCUGAUUUGUACUUGAAACAACAACUCCCAAAUGUGAACCCAAGAUUCUGUCUUCCCUUCUCAGUGCCUUCACCUGUAGAUGUGAUUUUCUUGGUCUCAUAAAAGGAAAUCAAAAAUGUAGGACCAAUAGCUUUUAUUUUUUGAGGGGGGUAGUGGGUAACUAGGCUUCUCUAGGGUCUUAUACCUUUAUGGAAUCCAAAAAGAGAAAGGAAAAAGGGCAUCACCACCUUCACCAGGAAAGAUCUCUGUGUGCUUCUCUUUCUUUCUUUCUUUAUUUCUCUAGCAAACAGUUGCAGUUGGGACAAGAACUCUCUGUAAUGCCAGCUCUGACCUUGGCCUGGGCCAUCUGGAACAUAAUGUUGAAGUCGCUAACCGUCAUCAGAAAGGGAUUAAAUGGUACUUGCCAUGGUUGGUUUGACUGCCAGUCGGCCAUGUCGUUUUCUACUCACUGUGUCAUCACUCAACCUUAAAAUUUCUUUUGGAAUUUGGUAUGUGUUUUGUUUUGUUAUCUUCAUACUCGGACAAACUAAAUCUUAAUUUGUUUAUUUUUAGGACGUGAAAUCUACAUUUUUUAAAGGAUUAAAUUCAGUUUGUCCCCUCGUGCUUUAGGUCAAUAAUCAGUUUGGUCUCAUAUCUUUUUUUUUAAUAACGUUGGUCCUUGUACUCUCAAAUGACAUCAUCUAAGUCCAAAAUUUGAAUUUUAGUGCAAAAAUGGGUGAGUUUGGUCAUUGAAAAAUGAUUUUUUUUCAUCGUUAGAAUGUUUAUUUGCCCUAUUUGUAGGUUAAAAAGCUCAAAUAUGGAUCCCCAUGUCAGUUUCAAGUCAGCAAAUAAUAUUAUUUUUGAAGCCAUAUUAAAAUUUUGGACUUAGUUGAUGAUGUUUAAGAGUACAAGGACCAACGUUAUUAAAAAAAAAGAUAUGGGACCAAACUAAUUAUUGAACUAAAGUACGAGGAGGCAAACUGAAUUUAAUCCUUUUUUAUAUUGUAAUUUAUACUCUUAUUUUUUUAUUUUUAGUUAUCAUUUUUAUAAAAAGACAAAAGUUAAGUCAUUAAAGACAAAAUUUAAGUUACCACAAAUAGAAAAUGAAAGUAUUGAUUACAAUUUGAGGAAUGUGGAUUUCACUUCCCAUUUUUUUUAUAUGAGAAUUGAGAAGGAUGGUACAUGCGUAUGUGAGUCAAAAUGAGAAAGAAUAAGAACGAAAAAUGUGGUUAUAUCAUUAGUGUGAUCACGGUAGAUAUGUAUAUACCUCUUCUUGUUAUAUUUCAGAUCAAUCGUGAAAAUUAGUAUUUCGUAGUAUAUGUUUGUGUAAAUUCUCAACCAAAUCUUAAAUUGUAAAACUUCUGCCACAAGAUCAAGAUGGAUACACGCAAACUCAACAUCAACGUACAACCAUAAAAUUUUGGCCAAGGAAAGAGAAUUUGAAAGGCAACAAUUGAAAAUAGAAAACCAAUCGAAAAUUGAGAAAUUUUUAACAUCAUUUUUCUUUCGUUAUAUCAUAGAGAUGACCGAAAAUUUGAUAUAUAACAUCAUUUUUCACACUCAAUCUCUCUCCAUACUCAAAGUAACCUAACAAGAAUUUGCAGAUUUCAUACUCUUGAUACUCUCACAAGUGAUUUGAGCAUAAUGAUUUCGAGAGUGUAGAGUCACUACCAGGACAAGCACUUUAGCCGACGAAAAAUUUUCGUCGGCCUGUUAUCCUAAUUCGUCGGCCAAGGUCUUAGCUGACGAGCCUUCGUCGGCUAUAGUAUCGUCGGGAAAGGGUCAUCGGCGAUGGCUUUAGCCGACGAACCCAGAGACCGUCGUUGGCUAUUGUCCAGACUUUAGCUGACGAACUAUUUUGUCGUCGGCUUUUGUUCAUGCAUUUAAGCCGACGAAACAGACACUAUAUUUCGUCGGCUAUUGUUCCAGACUUUAGCCGACGACGUCCUGUGUCGUCGACUAUACUCCCAGACUUAAGCCGACGUAACAGAAAUAUUCGUCGGCUUUACUCCCAGACUUUAGCCGACGGAACAGAGAUAUUCGUCUGCUAAAGUAUAUAAUUAAAAAAUUAAAAAUAACUAUAGCCGACGACAGAGAGUCUGUUUCGUCGGCUUUAGUAGGGUUUAGCAGACGAAACAUGCCAUAAUUCGUCGGCUAAACCCUAUGGAAAAAAAUUAAAAUACUAUAGCCGAUGAAUUGUGGCAUGUUUCGUCGGCUAUAACUCCAUUCCAGUAAAAAAAAAAAUACGCGAAAUUNNNNNNNNNNNNNNNNNNNNAUAUAAGGUAUCAACGACACAAAAUCUAGAUGGUCUAAAUCAAUAUCCGAUUCUGGGGCCUGCGUGAGGAGAUUGCGGCGACAGAGGUAACUGUAUAGGCGCAGGCAUGGGCGGAGGUAGAAGUCCCUGAAGCUGGGCAGCUGUAAAAUCCUGGAAGUACUGGAACAUCUGCUGAUGCUGGGCCUGCUGGGCGGCAUGUAAGGCUCUAGUAUAGGCUCUAUAUUCGGCGAUCUGGGCGGCAUGAGCGGCAGCCUGAGCAGCAUGAGCGUCAGCCUGAGCGGCAGCCUGAGCAGCAUGAGCGUCAGCCUGAGCGGCAGCCUGAGAAGCAUGAGCGUCAACCUGAGCGGCUUGCUGUUCCCGUAGUCUCUCAACUUCCGACUCUAGCUGAGUCGUCCUGCUGCUGGUCGAGGCUGUAGAAGUUGUUUUCUCGCGUGGGAAGGCUGUGCCCAUGAUCCUCGCCCCAACCCUCGGAUCUGAAGUGUCGAUCUGGGAAAUGGCUUCGGACAUCUCUUCCUCCUGCGUGUCCGGCCAUGUCUCCCUCACUAUAGCACUCAUCACCUCGUCACUAGCCUCCCUCACCUUUGCCUAAUUGGAUAAGAAAAAAAUUAUUAAUUAACAUUUUGACAUACAUAUAAGUAAAAUUAAAAAUUCCGUAAAAAAGAAAGAUUACUUACUAUAUCCUCCUGGGAGUCAGGAUAUGCCUUCUCGUACGUAUAGACGUACUGGUUGACCUCUGUAUGUUCCUUGGCCGCCUCGUCCAUGAAGACAGCGAACGGUCUAGAACCGGCAUGAUGGUUCCUUGUGUUGCGUUGCCGGUUCUGAGCGUUCGCCCGGGAAACCGCCUUCAAAGAAAAAAACAAAACUAUUAGUAAAAUAUUUAAAAACGCACGUACUUAAUAACAAAUUAACUAAUUAAUUUAUUUAAAUACCUGUUUACGAGGGUUGUUGAAUUCUGAUGUCAGAAGCCAACGCCACUCGUACUCUCUGUACUGGAACUCAGCAAGGGUAGCAGAACGUGCGUUCCCGUGCGUAGUCUAAUGGGCCCGCAACUCGUUCUUCCACUCCUUGUACCUACAGAUACAACAAAAAUAUUAGAAAUAUUAUUAAUAUCACAUACAAUUUUGUUUUUUCAUUAACUUCCCAACGUACCUUCCCCCAUGCAUAAAGUCCGCCCAGCUGCUCUUCAAGGGCUCGGGAACCUCAAACCACACCUGCAUUUAACCGUUUAUUAGUUUAGUUUUUCGAGAAAUCUAAACUAUAAUACAUAAUAUUAUUAAGGCAUUUUGUAAACUUACCGACAUCGCGUUGUGGACCAUGUCCUUAACCUCCUGCGGGACCUCGCCCCAGUCUGACCACAACAUGGGGACUCUAUCCCUAAUGAGCGCUCCCACACGGCCGGAGUAUGUCNNNNNNNNNNNNNNNNNNNNNNNNNNNNNNNNNNNNNNNNNNNNNNNNNNNNNNNNNNNNNNNNNNNNNNNNNNNNNNNNNNNNNNNNNNNNNNNNNNNNNNNNNNNNNNNNNNNNNNNNNNNNNNNNNNNNNNNNNNNNNNNNNNNNNNNNNNNNNNNNNNNNNNNNNNNNNNNNNNNNNNNNNNNNNNNNNNNNNNNNNNNNNNNNNNNNNNNNNNNNNNNNNNNNNNNNNNNNNNNNNNNNNNNNNNNNNNNNNNNNNNNNNNNNNNNNNNNNNNNNNNNNNNNNNNNNNNNNNNNNNNNNNNNNNNNNNNNNNNNNNNNNNNNNNNNNNNNNNNNNNNNNNNNNNNNNNNNNNNNNNNNNNNNNNNNNNNNNNNNNNNNNNNNNNNNNNNNNNNNNNNNNNNNNNNNNNNNNNNNNNNNNNNNNNNNNNNNNNNNNNNNNNNNNNNNNNNNNNNNNNNNNNNNNNNNNNNNNNNNNNNNNNNNNNNNNNNNNNNNNNNNNNNNNNNNNNNNNNNNNNNNNNNNNNNNNNNNNNNNNNNNNNNNNNNNNNNNNNNNNNNNNNNNNNNNNNNNNNNNNNNNNNNNNNNNNNNNNNNNNNNNNNNNNNNNNNNNNNNNNNNNNNNNNNNNNNNNNNNNNNNNNNNNNNNNNNNNNNNNNNNNNNNNNNNNNNNNNNNNNNNNNNNNNNNNNNNNNNNNNNNNNNNNNNNNNNNNNNNNNNNNNNNNNNNNNNNNNNNNNNNNNNNNNNNNNNNNNNNNNNNNNNNNNNNNNNNNNNNNNNNNNNNNNNNNNNNNNNNNNNNNNNNNNNNNNNNNNNNNNNNNNNNNNNNNNNNNNNNNNNNNNNNNNNNNNNNNNNNNNNNNNNNNNNNNNNNNNNNNNNNNNNNNNNNNNNNNNNNNNNNNNAGACCGGGAGAGGGAGAGGGAGAGGGAGAGGAGGCGGAGACCGGGAGAGGGAGAGGGAGAGGGCGACGACCGGGAGAGGGAGCGGAGGGGGAGGAGGGGAAAUUCGGAGAGGGAGAGGAGGCGGAGGCUAGGGCUUACAAUUAACCAGUCGAGCGCUGGGUUAUACCCGAAAACUUUAGCCGACGAAAUAAUAAUUUCGUCGGCUAAAGAUAAUAAUUUCGUCGGCUAAAAUAAUAAUCUCGUCGGCUAAGAUAAAAUUCGUCGGCUAAACCUUUGAAAUUCGUCGACUAAACCUAUGAAAUUUGUCGGCUAAACAAUAAAUUCGUCGGCUAUAACCUUUGAAAUUCGUCGGCUUUAUAACUUUUUAUACAUUCGUCAAACUGUGAUUGUGAUUGUGAUGAUCAAACUUGAGAACGAAAAUCCGAUCGUCAGAUCUGACCACCAUGAUAAAAUACAUGUAUGGGAAAAAAUUCAACUUGAUCCGACAAGGUUAAGGGCUCGAUCCGAAUGGUCAAUCAGUUAAGUCAAACCCCUAAACGCACGGAAAAGGUCAUUGGACUGUCUAAAUUACGUAUUUUGGCCGGACCUUCAACUAAAAAUAGUUUCAAACCGAUGAGACGCAACAAGUCCUAUAAAAAUUUUAUGCAAAAUAACCACCGAAGAUAGGGUUACCCAUAGGGAGAAAGAAUGGAAAAUUGCAUUGACCGCAACUAUCGGCACCGAGAUUUUACCGGAAUACCGUGAUUUUUCAACCGUAGACGUAUUUCACCAUUUUGGUCAUGUCUUAUUUCACGACUUUUUUACGUUUGAAGGUUCUACGUAUAGUUUGUUUUUGAAACGGAACAUUUACUUAACACUUGGUAAACAAGUUAUACAACAUUAGUAGGCAUGUUGUGAUUGUGAUGAUCAAACUUAAGAAAAUGAAAUCCUACGGUCAGAUCUGACCAUCAUGAUAAGAUACAUGUAUGGAAAAAAAUUCAACUUGAUCUGACAAGGUUAAGUGCUCAAUCCGGACGGUCAAUCUCGUAAGUCAAACCCCUAAAUGCACGAAAAAGGUCGUUGGACCGUCAAAAUUUCGUAUUUUGGCCGGAUCUUCAACUGAAAAUAUUUUCAAAUCGAUGAGACACAACAAGUCGUAUAAAAAUUUUACGCAAAAUAACCACCGAAGAUAGGGCUAUAGUAUGUAACAGAAAAGGUUUAGGAUUUAGCCGAAAAAUACCCUAAUACAUUCGUCGGCUAUAGUAUGUAAUAAAAAAAUAUAACAAUUAAUAAAGCCGACGAAAUAUUAGGGUAUUCGUCGGCUAAGAUUGUUUUAGCCGACGACUUCUAAUAUACUUCGUCGGCUAAGUUGGUUUUAGCCUACGAAUUCUAAUAUACAUCGUCGGCUUAGAUGGUUUUAGCCGACGACUUUAAUUGCAAUUCGUCGGCUUUAAGAUCUUUUAGCCGACGACUUCCAUUUCAAUUCGUCGACUUUAAGUUCUUUUAGCCGACGACUUCUAAUAUUCUUCGUCGGCUAAGACGGGUUUAGCCGACGACUUCUAAUAUAAUUCGUCGGCUAAGAUGGUUUAGGCCGACGAAUUAUGUUGUAUUUCGUCGGCUUAAGUAAAAAAUACAAACCCUAAAAUAGAAGGUUUAAACCAUACUAAUUUCUUGUUCAUAUAUCACCAAAAUUCAUAUAAAAUAACAGAAAUAUGAAUUCAACAUAUGUAAACUAGAAAUUAAGGUAAUACAAUCUUUUUUAUUACAAAUUAAUGUAUUAUGUCCGAAGAAAUUAAAACUAAGGCUCGUAAUCGGAAUCAUCCGAUGAGUCUUCUUCGGUGUCAGAAUUAAUUUAUGGUAAUCUAUGCCUUUCCUCAUCGCCAGAGUCUUCGUCUGUUUCUUGAUUUGGAUCAACAUCAAUAAGCCUUGGCUCUUCAUCACGAAUUCGCACCGAACGACUCGCUUUAAAAUUAUUAAGGCGAACGGUAGAGGAGUUAGGAAUACCUAUUGCGUUGGGCUCUUGAUACGCAACAUCUUCUUCCUGGUCUUCGGCCUCUCCAAGUGUAGCCGCCCGGUAAAUGUUUCGAGGGUGCACAAGGUUGACUACUUUCCACGUGUCACCCUUAGCAAGGUCAUCAAGAUAAAACACUUGUUUUAUCGAUGUGACAAAAACGAACGGGUCAUCUUCGUAAGAACUUGUAGCAGUGUUCACCGAUAAUAUUCCAUACUGAUCGGUCUUCAUGCUCUGCGGGCUAGUAUCAAACCAUCUACACUUGAAGAGGUGCACUGUCAUGCCUUCACCGUAAACGAGUUCCACCACUGAAUCAAGAACACCGUAAUAGUCAACUCCAUUCCGCCCACCAUGCGCCAUCACCCCAGAAUUCUGUGUUCUCCGUCUGCUGUCUCUCUGUUCACAUAUAAAUUGCACGCCAUUCACCUUGCACAUCGGAUAAACUCUUGACAUUAUCGGCUUCNNNNNNNNNNNNNNNNNNNNCUCAACUUAUUCAUCUAUUCAUUAGACGAGGUUAAUAUGUCGUCUGUAUGAAUUUGAAAUAUUCAAUUCAUUUGAGUUUGGGAGAGGGCACCAACCUUAAUGUAUUCAUCGCACAACAUAAAAAUGUCGUCUAGACUUGCAAUAUUUGAAUUUUGGGCGCCGGAAUUUUCCCUCGCUUUUCUUCAAUGUGAGACGGCAAUUAUAUGUCGUCUAAGGUUGUAAAUAAG